rnacentral:lncRNA from 1 species
AACUUUAUCUUUUGGUUUCCUUUUGCUGGUGAGUUUGGGCUUAGCUUCGGCGGCCCGAUCUCUUCUUUCUUACGAUAUUCCUCCUCAUCGAUCUGGAUACGAUAAUUAUGAUCAUCCUGUAGUUAACCCUAAAGUAGGAUACGAACAUGACCGUCGUGAUGGAUACUACCAUGACCGUGACCAUCAUGAUGCACCUUAUGGUGGUGGUGCUGGUGGAGGAUAUGGAGCUGGAGCUGGAGCUGGCUCAUCUCUUGGAGGCUCUGGAUAUGGAAGUGGAGGAGGUGGUGGUUCUGGAUAUGGAGGUGUAGGAAACCACGAGGUUGGUUAUGGUAGUGGUGGAGGGGGUGGAUAUGGAGCUGGAGUUGGCUCUGACCUUGGUGGUAGCGGAUACGGAAGCGGUGGUGGUGGAGGCAGUGGAGGAGGAUACGGUGAUUUAGGAGGACGUGGAAAAGGGUACGGUAGCGGUGGAGGUGGAGGAAGUGGAUAUGGAGGUAGAGGAGACCAUGGAGUUGGUUAUGGAAGUGGUGGAGGUGGAGGAUAUGGAAGUGGAGUAGGUGGUGGUGCAGGAGUGGUAGACCAUGGUGUAGGUUAUGGGAGUGGAGGAGGAGGUGGGGCUGGUAGUGGUUAUGGUGGUUCCAAAGGAUAUGGAGGUGGAAGCGGCGGCGGUGGGGGAGCCGGUUAUGGUGGUGGAGCACAUGGAAGUGGAUAUGGAAGUGGUGGUGGAGCUGGAAGUGGUGAAGAAGGAGGAUAUGAUGGUGGAUAUGCACCGUAAACAAAGAAAAGAAAAGAAAAAGCUCAAAGUUUUAUGGCUAAAAUGAGAAUGCUUACCCUAAUAUCAUCAAUGUGUGUGUGUGUUAGCAAAAAAAAAAAAUAAAAGAAUUUGGGUAAGAAAUGUUAUAUUAAUUAUCUUUGAGCUUUUAAGUAAUUUGAAUGUAAUAUAAUAUAUAUAUAAAAAAAGCUAAUCCAUGUGUUCCAAAGUGAACCAACAUGAAGUAUAUUUUCUCCCUUUGUCAUCAUGAUCAUCUUAAACUUGUGGUUAUUAUGUGGGCUCUCAUUAUUAUUCCAAGAUAGCAACGUCGGGAUAUUCAAAUAUUUUUCAUAUGUAAUGUCUUAAGACUAAAUCACUAUGAUCUAUAUGCUUUAAUUAAGUUCAAAACUAUUUUGGAAGCAUUAUGAUUAAUAUAUUGAUUACUUAAAUACUAUUAUAUGGUUUUCAAGGUAACUUGAUGUUGUUAAUAAAAGAAAUCUUUAAUAUUUAAUCAGUCCUUUCUCUUAAAAUUUAGUAAAAAUAAAUACUAAAAUGGUAUGAUGUUUUAUGGUUGGAUUUGGGGUAUGUGUUUUGGCUUGUCCCUCUAGUUGUGACUUGUUCAAAAUAAGUGUACAAUCAAAUUCACUUGGGUUAUUAAAGACAAUUGAUAAACAAAAAUUGCCAAAACGAUAGAGCAUAACUAUUUAAUCGGUAUAAAACUUGUACAAUCCAUUAAUCAUAAUAUACUUUUUCUAAUUGAUCUCUAAUUGAUCGUACAUACUAGUUAGUGUCGAUAAAAAACUCAAUUUGACGUAUAAAUAUUUGUUUGUUGUAAAUGAACAUCUAAGUAUAUUCUUGAUUAAUUAUUCUUAUACUAAGAGUAACAUUGACCCCUCUAUUCUUUAGUAUUUGGUUAAAAGAAUAAAAAAUUAGUAAGUGAUGAAUCUUAGUGUGCUAUAGGUUGAUCAACCAAUUAAAAUUAGUCGUUUCAAGCAAUACUUUCGAAAAAAUUCAUUAAAUAGGAGUUAUUUAAACUAUCAACCCUGAGUUUUUAUACAUUACAAUAAAUUUAAUCUUUGAUGUCGGUCAAAAACUAAUAUAUAGGAGUACAAUAUAGAUCACCAGAUCGAUAUGGAAGACAAUGUUAUGGAAGAUGUUCAAUGUUAAUCACUUUUAUGUUCGUUUUGGUCUUGGCAUUAUAAAUAAUUUAAAUGGUAGUUUUUGCUCACACUACAAAUGUGUUAGACUAUUAGUCAUCAAAUAGUUUGAAUUCCUUGUAAAAAAAAUUAGUUGAAACAAAAAUAAAUAAUUAUCUUUGCAUUAAAAUAAAAUAAAAUAAAUAAAAUAGAUUUUUUUGUGAAUAUUUUGGUCAGGUGUUCUAUUUUUUAUAAUUUCCCAUAAAAAAUAUGUGUAAUAAGUUAUUUAAAAUACUAAUAGUAUUAAUUAGUUUACUUAAUAAAUCAAUUAUAUCUCUAAAUGAUAUUUUGGUAGAUUUAAAAAUAUUUUGAUUCAUUUUGCUAUAUUUGAAAAAGAAACCAUAAAAUUCUACUUCAUAUUCGCAAUAGAUCAUGGUAAACUUAGAUAGGCAUCUAUUAUUUAUAUAUAUGGUGAUAGAUACUUAUGUAUCUAUAUCCAAGCCCAUCAUCUAAAUAUUUUCAAAUGGUUUUCAAUUGAAAACAAAUUUCUCAAUAAGUAAUUAAAAAUUAGGUUUUUAUUCACUAAUAAUUAUUAUUUAAAUGUGAACAAAUAAAGUUUAGCUCGUAUAUAAUGGGUCAGUAGGUACACUCGGAUAUCUCCACUAGAUGGACACCCCUUAGCACCCUCAUUAUCUCCGUUUCAUUAAUAUAAAAAAUCGAAUUGAAUACACGAGAAGUAAAGAGAACAACCCAAACAAAAAACAAAGAACUAGAGACAAGCCCAAAACAAGUACAAACAAUUAGAAAGCAUGAAGAAAUUAGUGCUUUAAACCCCUAAACCGCAAUGUUACUUAACAAAUAAAAUUGUUAUUUAAAAGUUUGAAGUUAUUAUUGAGUUUUAUUUUAGCAAAUUAAUCAUCUCUUAAAUUAAAAAUCUCAAACAUACAUGGAAGAUAAGAUCAAUUAAGCACAUGUUGGAUGAAUUUUGUUCGAAUAAAAAUUAAAACAACUUAUUGUUAUCAACUUAUAAGUUAUAUAUAUGAUGAUGGUGGUGCAGAGGUGAAAACUUAGUUUGAGAUCUCUCCCUACAUCUACUAUGCUUUUACGUUCUAAUGUAUUUUGUGGUAAAAAAAUCAAUUAUAAACUUUUAAGAAAAAUUUUCAUAUGUUAUUAUUUUUUCUCUAAAUUCUAAACUAGCCAGGUUAUCAACAAAACAAAUACCACUAGAGUUUAAGGGAUUAGGAAGCAUAUAUGAAUAUCUCAACUUGGUUAACACGUCGUUUUUAAACAUUUCUCAUCAGGUUGCUGUUUCAAAAGUGAUGCACUGAUGUGAAGAAACAUAUAGGAGAAAAGUGAGAUGGAAAGUUAGUAUAUUGGACAGAGUACAUAGUACAUAGUAGGUUUAUUAAUUAAUUUAUCCAAAUGAUAAUCUCAUUACCAAGCACUAUGUGAUUUAGAUAUGAAUAAAAUGUGAUCAUUUUUCCACCACUAUUACAUAGCAAAUGGGAAAACAUCUCAUUGUGGUUUGAUAUUUUAAAAAACAAUUAUGGUAAUGCAAGUCGUCUCAUAUCCCAUAAUAUUAUCUCAGUCUCAUGGCGACUGAUACAAAAGGACAAAACUAACUUCAUUAAAAUAUGUUCUCUCCUUCCUACACUUUUUAGGUAUAUAUCAUUCAUAUAUUAAUCACUGCAAUUGGUUAGGUGGACUACAAAAACAUAGAUAUAGUCCGAGAUAAAAUUAAGUACGGUUAUAUUUUACGAGACUUUUGAUGUGUUUGAUUACAUUUUCAUGUGUUUCUUUUAGAAAAUAAGUUAUUUUGAAAAAACUAAAGUAUUUUAAACAAUUUUUAGAACAAUCAAUUUCUUGAAAAAUAUUUUUUUCUUAAUUCAAUCUAAGAUGGAUCCUCAAAAUAUUUGAGGGUAGUUCUUUUAUAAAAGUAUUUACACUAGGUUGGUUUAUGAAGUAAAAUAUUGAUCGGUAAAUUCAAGUUUUAAAUUAGAAAAAUUGAAUAUUUUUAAAAAUAGAAGAAUUGGCUAACUAUUUACAACUCAUACCAAAAUUUUAAUACAAAUCCAAAGUAUCUAUUUUUUAUUUUAUUAUUAUUAUUAUUUUUUGCUAUAGGAUGUAAAUACUAUCUGUUUUCUUGUAAAUUUCUCUUACAAUCCUCUACGAGAAAGUCUUAAUUUUUAUAUUUAUGAUUUAUAUUAUAAUAUAAUUAUUUGGAACCAUAUAAUAAAUAAAAGGAAAAUUGUAAAACAUAACAUUUGACAAAAUAUCUUCGUAGAAAAAUUUGUUGUGUAAUCAAUUUUGAGGUUUUGUUAUAUGGAGCGUAAAUAUUUUGUCAAAUUUUCUAUUUGUGAAAAAAAAAACUUAUAGGUAAUUUGAAAGGUAAGUGAUCUUGUUUAAGAUCCAAAUUUCUUUUAUGAAAGUUUAAUUUAGAAUACAUACGAGAAAAAUAGAUUAAUCUAGAAUGAUAAAUGUAAGAUAGGUUUGGGAAGUACCAAUAAAUUUUAGGCAUGUGAUAGACUAUAACUGUGAAGAUAUAUAGUCUAUUGCUAUCUUGAAUGGCUCAUUCUUGUUUGAAAAUGACCUUAUUUAAAACACAACUUUUUUAUAAAAGAAAAUCCCUUGCAUCAUUCAAACAAUCUUACAAGAUCGUAUUAGUGGAAGAUGAGAUAGAAUUCUGACAUGUGUAUUAUUAGUAUACUUGAAUAGUUUCUUAUCUAACUUUUGAGCAAGUAGUGGAGAAGCUGAUCAUGAACCCUAAACCCACCGUAUCAUUCACUAUAUAAAGGAGAUCACUACAUGCAUUCUAAGGCAUCCCUUCUCCAAAUGGCUAUCUUUAGAACUUUCUCUUUCGGUUUUCUUUUGUUGGUGAGUUUAGGCUUAGCUUCUGCGACCAGAAGUCUUCUCACCUAUGAUCCACCACAUCACUCUGUAUAUGAUGAUCAUAACACUAAAGUAGGUUACGGACGUGACCAUCAUGAUCAACCUUAUGGUGGUGGUGUUGGUGCUAGUGGAGGAUAUGGAGCCGGAGCUGGCUCUGGAUAUGGAGGUGUAGGAUACGAACAUGACCAUCAUGAUGGAUACGAACGUGAUCAUGAUCGAUCUUAUGGUGGUAGUGCUGGUGGAGGAUAUGGAGUUGGAGCUGGCUCCUCUCUUGGAGGCUCUGGAUAUGGAAACGUAGAUCAUGGGGUUGGUUAUAGCAAUGGUGGAAGUGGUGGAUAUGGAGCUGGUGUUGGCUCUGACCUUGGUGGUAGCGGAUAUGGAAGCGGUAAUGGCGGAGCAAGUGGAAGUGGAAAUGGUGAUUUAGGAGGACGUGGAAAAGGCUACGGUCGCGGUGGUGUUGGAGGAAAUGGAUAUGGAGGUAGAGGAGACCAUGGCCGAGUAGUAGGCCAUGAUGAUGUAGUUUAUGGUGGUUCCAAAGGAUAUGGAGGUGGAAGUGGCGUCGGUGGGGGAGCUGGUUAUAGCGGUGGAGCAAGUGGAAGUGGAUAUGGAAGUGGUGGUGGAGCUGGAAGUGGAAGUGGCUAUGGCGGAAGUGGUGAAGAAGGAGGAUAUGAUGGUGGAUAUGCACCUUAAAUAAAAGGGGCUAAAACAUCAUCUAAAAGCUUAUCGUUAAAACGAUAAUACUUACCUAAAUAUCAAUGUUUGUUAGCAAAAAUAAAGAAUUUAGGUAAGAAUGUUAUGUUCCUCUUUUGAAUUUUAGUAACUUCAAUGAAUGUGAUAUUAUAAAAACUAGCUGUUUCAUGGGGUUCUAAAGACCAACAAACAUGCAUGAAAUACUGAGUUAAUACAACGUACGCCAUUCCAAACGUGCUAUUUUAUGGAUUCCAAAGUUGACUUUGAACUAAGGACUAAAUAAUCCUUUAACACCUUCUAAACACAAAUUAUUUCACAGACGUCAAGAUCAGUUAAUCAAGUUAAAACUUAAUAGGUCAAAUUCAUCAUUCCAAAAUGACUUGUAGAAAAAUUUUGAGACUUAGUUCGAGUAUGUUAAAUUCUAAUGUUACGAAGUUUUCUUAACAAAAUUGAGAAGGAGGUUGGGAUGGUGGAUAUGCACUCAAAAAUUUCAUCUCAAAAGAGAAUUGAGAAACAUACUUUUCAAGUAACAAACCCAAUAUUCAUAUUAAUUGGGCAACAAAAGUAAGGAAAUAGGGGUAAAAAGAGAACAUUGUUUUCUAAAUAAUCUAUGUCGAGGUUUGCUUCUUGGCCAUGAAAUUCGAACCAAUUAUUCAAUGAUAAGCAAAUUUGGAUUAAGUAUGCAUGUGUAAUGUGACAAAAUUAUUCAACCACAUUCACGUUAUUUUGCUUUCCUAAUCAUAUUUAUGAAAUAAGAUGGUUUCAUCUUUCAAAAUCAAUACACAAUUACAAAAGUAGUAAUACUUCUAUCUUAUAAACAAUGUUGAUCUCUUGAAUUUUCCAUGUAUGGAAUUAUCAACAUUCUCCGCAUAUUGUUCUAGGUUAUUUUUUUAACCAGUGUAAUCAACCUCAAACAAAAACAAAAGUGACAAAACCAAGAAAAUAACAAAAUUUUCACUUAAAUAAAAGAGGGAAAAAAAAUAGCACAUCCUAUAAGCCAAAAUAAGGGCGAGGGGUUUAGGGUUUAGGGUUAUUAGACCAAGACUACCAAAAUGUCUAAUGACUUUUAUAACGAAACAUCUAGUUUAGAUUGAUACAUAUGAUAUGUAGCAUCUUCACAGCAUCCAAGAUCAAGAGUCGAUAUAUUAUCAUGAAAAGAAAGUACAAAAGGGAAGUUAGGGAAAAACUUGGAGUCAACGUUAAGAGAACCAUUAAAAGUUUUAGAAGUUCAAUUAAUAUUUGUAAAAUUUUAAGAGCUAAAUUUUUAUAAUCCAACGUUUGAGGUCUAGUAAUUGCAAUUGACCAUCAUACUUCAGGGAUAAUUUUUGAAAAUUUCCUUUUCUAUUAUUAAAUUAUCAAGAAAAAAAAGUUUAAUGACGGUCAAAAUAAUCCCUGGCGUCCAUAUAAUAAUUUUCAAUAACAUUUCACGACACUAAAAAAAAUUGGAACUUUGCUCACAUUUUUCUAAGAAACGUAAAUAUUUUGUCAACUUUACUAUAUAUAUAUUAUUGUUACUCUUUUAAAAACUUAAGUAAUUUUGAUUCGACCAAUUUUUUUUGCUAUCAACUACAAUUGUUAAAAAAUAUAUAUAUACGAAAAAAAAUGGUUAAUUUUCAUUCACAAAAUAUUUAAAAAAGUAAAAUUUUAAAUUUGUCUCGUAUCUUUUGGAAUAAGGUUUGUCUUUAAUUAAGGAAAUUUAAAAGUUGCUAAAACAUAGCUAAAUUAAACAAAAGUUACUUUUUUAAAGAAAAUUUUUUAAAUAACAAAAUUAUUAAAAAUAUAAUUAAAUUAGAAUUUUUGAAUCUAUUAUUGAUAUAAUUAAGAAAAGUCUAUCAACAUAUAUCAAUUCUAAUAUUUUAUUAUAUUUUAAUUCAUUUGGUUAUAUUUAACAACUCAUUCCCACACAAACUAUAAUUCAAAUUAAAAACAUAUUUGAACAAAUAUUUUGUAUAAUUUAAGUGAUGAAUCGCACUAAUAUUGUUAAAAUGUGUUUAAAAUGUGAUACUUUUCCCACCAUAUUUUAUAGCAAAUGGCAGAUAAUUUAAUGUUUCUUUGAAGCAAGAAUUAGGCAAAGAAGCAUAUAUAUAUAUAUAUAUAUAUAUAUAUAUAUAUAUAUAAUAUAUAUAUAAUAUGUAAUUAAAUUUUAUAUUAUAGUUAUGCAAAAUCGUUUCAUAAGCCACUUCAUCUCUCUCUAUUUCAUGGCAUCAAGUAAACAAAAAGGGAAAAAGGGAAAAAGAGACCUAAUAAAAUAUGUGUUCUUUAAUUGGUGGAUUUUUAAUUAGCAUUAUUAAUUAAUCAAUCAUGUAAAUAUCCUACAAAGAAUAUUUGUUCUUAAGAUAAUUCAUUGCAUGAUGAAUCAAAAUUUUAGGUUGGGUGUUCCUGUAUACUUAAAAACAUUAUUGCAUUACCAAAUUAAAUUUAUACAAACCAAACGAUAUCAUUUUGUUCGUAUUAAGUUCGUUUAAGUUUAGAUGGUAUAUGAAAGUUGGUUUGUUAUGUUUAGGUUUAUUAAACAACAUUGUAUUUAGACGAUAGUGUAAACUUUAAGUUGUUAAACAUGUGUUUUAUCUUAGUCUAAUGUCGUCUAAUACAAAUAUAUUAUGAUACUUUUUAAUAUUUAAAAAUAUUUUUAGAAGUUUUAUAAAUUAAAAUAAUUUUUCUAAAAAUUAAGUUUCAUCAUUUUUAAGAGGAGAAAAGACACCCUAAACAUAAAUUAAAGAAAAUAGAAUGAUAUUGUAUUAAUUACAUAAAUUUAAUCAAAAAUUAAGAACUAAAAAUAAAAUUGUUAUCAAAAUGAAAAUUCAUUUUAACAUUCAAACCAUCCAAAAAAAAGAACAUCUAAUUACUCUAUUGUAACAGAAGUUUUAUCCUCUUAAGAAAAAAAUAGUUUAAUGUUAAAAGAGUAUACAAAACGUGUUAAUAAGUACACAACUCAAUUAGCAUAAAGCUUAAAUUUUAUUUAGAUCAAGACUCAAAUCUAUGAGAUCACAGGAUAUUGCAAAUUUAGGAUUUUAGGUUAUCGUUUAAAGUUCUAAAAUAUUGCAAAAUGGUGCAAGUGGGAAGAUGGGAUCCAAAUCAAGUAUGGAUAUGAUUUAGUUCCAAUUAUAAUUUAAGGUUAUAGUUUAAUGAUUUAGUUACAACACUUUAGUGUUUUGCCUCUUGAACUUCCCUUAAGCUAUAAUCCAUAAUUAAUAAUGUUUUUGAGCACGUGCCUUCUCUUUAAUUGCCACUAAGGUACCACACUAUAGAGAAGAGCUAAUGAAUCCUUGUUUUCUAUAUAAGGAGAUGGAUCAAUGCAUUCUAAGCAUAUACUCCUAUCCAUGGCUAUUUCUAGAGUGUUGUGCAUUGGCUUUCUUCUUUUUGUGGGGUUAGGGUUAGCUUCGGCUGCCCGAACUCUUCUUGAUUAUGAUCCACGUGCACGUCGUUAUGAUUACGAUCGUCCUACUCCAAGAGUAGGAUACGAUCCAAGCCAUCGUGAUCAAUCCUAUGAUAAUGUAUAUGGUGGAAGCUCUAGCAGAGGAUAUGGAGCUGGAGACUCUGCUCUUGGAGGUUCGGGACGAUAUGAAGGUGGUGGAGGACGUGAUUACGGACAUGGAGGCCGAAAUGAUGAUCGUGGUGUUGGAUAUGGAGGUCGAAAUGAUGAUCGUGGUGCUGAAUAUGGAGGUAGAAAUGAUGAUCAUGGUGCUGGAUAUGGAAGUCGAAAUGAUGAUCGUGGUGUUGGAUAUGGAAGUCGAAAUGAUGAUCGUGGUGUUGGAUAUGGAAGUCGAAAUGAUGAUCGUAGUGUUGGAUAUGGAGGCCGAAAUGAUGAUCGUGGAGUUGGAUAUGGUAAUGGUGGUGGAUAUGGAGGUGUAGGAGGACAUGGUGAUGGUUAUGGUAACAAUGGUGGUGGAAGCUAUGGAGAUCGUUAUGGCCCUUCUCUUGGAGGUUCAGGAUAUGGAAGUGGAGGAAAAGGAAGUGGCAAUGGCUAUGACGAUCAUUCUCGUGGAAAUGGUGCGCGUGACAAUAGCUAUGGAGAUUCUCAUGGACAUGAAGGACGUGACAGUGGAUAUGGAAGUGGUGGAGGAGUUAGUGGAGGCUAUGGCAAUGGAGGAGUUCAUGGAGGGGAGCAUGAUAAUAGCAAAGGAAGUGGAGAAGAAGGGGGUAGGGACGGUGGAUAUGCUUUCAAAAAUUCCAUCUCAAAGGAGAAUUGAGAACUCUUUUUCAAGUAAUGAACCCAAUAUCAUAUUAUGUUAACAAAAAAAAUAAAGAAUUGGGUAUAAGAGAAUGUUGUUUUCUAAAUUUAUGUUGAAUUUGUUACCAACGAAUGUCAAAUUCGAAUCAAUGGGUACAAUGAUAAUCAAAUUUAGGUUAUGUUUAUUGUGAUAAAUUUAUUGCACUCUUAUUUGUUUUGUUUCUCUAUAUAUAUUUUUUCUAUAUAUCCAUAUUAAUAUGGGUGGUUUUGGACCGAAGAAAAAAACAUCAUCUAAAAGUUUUUCGUUAAAAUCAUAUAAUUCUUACCUAAUAUCAAUGUUUGUUAGCAAAAAGUAAAAGAAUUUAGGUAAGAAUGUUAUGUUUCUCUUUGAAUUUUAGUAACUUUUUCAAUGAAGUUGUGAUAUUAUAAAAUCUAGUCAUUUCAUGAAGUUCUAAAGGCAAACAAGCAUGCACCAAAUACUCUAGCUAAUACAACGUACGCCAUUCCAAACGUGCUAUUUUAUGGAUUUCAAAGUUAAACUUUGAAACAAUCUUUUAAUACGUUCUAAACACAAAUUAUUUAACAUAAAUCAUGGGCUAAUCAAGUCCAAACUUAAUAGAUCAAACUCAUCAUUCCAAAUGUCUCCUACAUAACUUGUAGAAAAUUUUAAGAUUUAGUUCGAAUAUAUUAAAUUCGAUGUUCCAAGUUGUUUUAACAAAAUUGAAAAACUUCACCAUUAUUUUGAGAUUUUUUUUUAUGAUUACAUCCUUUAAUUUAUUGAAUAAUUAUAAACAAUCUUGGUUUCAAGAGAAUUAUAUUUACGCAACGAUCAUUUGCAGAUGUUCAAAAUAUUUCUACCCUCAAUUAUACUUACAGAAAAACAUUUGUUGCACUUAUCUCUUCCAAACCAUAAUAGUUUUUAGGAAAAGAAAAAAGAGACAUGUUUAUGAAAGAAAAUUAGGCUACGAUGCUCAUUGUCGUGGAUAUGGAGCGCGUGACAACGGGUAUGGGAGGUGGAGGAGUUAGGGGUGGCUAUGGUGGUGGUAGCAAAUUGAAGAGAUGGUUAUGGUAAAUAGAGAGGUGUUCAUGGAGGAGAAUAUGAUAAUGGCAAAGGAAAUGGAGAAGAAGGAGGUUGUGAGGGUGGAUAUGCACUCAAAAUUAAUUCCAUCUGAUCAAAAGAGAAUUGAGAAACUUUUUUUUUUUUUUUGUAAGUAAUGAACCCAAUAUUCAUAUUAAUUGCACAACAAAAAAUAAAGAAAUUGGGUAAGAGAGAACGUUGUUUUCUAAAUCUUAUGGGUGGAAGGUUUGCAUGUUCGUGAAUGUAAAUAUCAAAUCAAUUUUUUAAUGAUAAGCAAAUUUGGAGUAAGUGUGCAUUUAUACUGUGACAAAUUGAAUCAACCACAUAUACGUUAUUUUGUUUUUCCAAUGAUAUUUAUUAUAUAAGAGGAUUUUAUCUCAAAAUCAAUCAACAAAUACGUGAAUAGUAAUACGUCAAUUUUAUAAACAAUAAUGAUGAUCUCUUGAAUUUUUCAUGUGAAAUUAUCAACAUUCUCCAUGUAUUGUUCUCGGUUAUUAUUUUUGUAACCAAAGUGUAAUCCUCCAAAAAAAUACAAAAUUGACAACCAAGAAAAUAACUAAAUUUUCAUUUAAAAAGAAAAAAGAGAAUAGCAUAUCAAAUAUCAAAUAGCCAUGCAAAAUAAGCUUAACUAGGGGAGAGGGAGUCUAUAAGUCAAAUUGCAUAGUCUAAACCAAGGCUAACAAAUGAAUGAUGAUCCUACGAUAAAAUAUCUUAAGUAGAUUGAUACAUAUGAUAUGUAGCAUCUUCACCGCAUCUAAGAACAAGAGUCGAUGUGUUAUCACAAAAAUAAAAUACAAAAGGGAAGUUUGGGAGAAAAUUAGAGUUAUAAUAAUGUUGAGAGAGAUCCAAUUAAUUAAUACUCUUAAAAUUUUAAGAGAUAAAUUUUUAUAUUUGAGAAUUUAAAUGUGUAAUUGCGACUAAUUAACCAAUCGUGUUGAUUUUUGCAAUUUACCUUUUUUUAUUAAAUUUUCAAGAAAAAAAUAUUUAAUGACGAUCAAAAUGAUCCAUGACGUACAUACAAUUAUUGUCAAACAUUCCAUGUUACUAAAAGAAAAUUGAAACUUUCUCCAACGUUAUAAAUAUUUUAUCCACUUUACUAUUUUUUUUAUUAUUUCCCUAAUUUUGAUUCAAUCAAUUUUCUAGCUAUCAACUACCAUUCUUUAAAAAAAAAUCAAAUAUACAAAAAUAAAAAAUUGUCAAUUUUCGUCCAAAAAAAUUUUAAAAUAAAAUUUGGAAUUUGGAAUAUGGUACCUUUUGGAAUAAGUUUUAAAGCCUUUGAUUAAAAAAAAAAAGUUGCUUCAACCAAAAUCAUUGUAAAUAAUGUUGAAAUUAUAAAAUUAUUAAAAAUAUUUAUAAAUAUAGACAAACUAAAAUUUUAGAAUCUACCGUUGAUGUAACUAAUAAACGUAUAUCAGCGUCUACCGAAUAUAUUCUAAAAAACGGUAAUAUUUUAUAAAUAUUUUAGUAUGUUUACCCUUUCACAAACUUAAUUAAAAUUAUAAUCCAAAUCAAAACCUAUCCAAACAAAUAUUUGGUGUAACUUAAGGGAUGAAUCGCACUAAUAUGACUCAAACAUAUUUUGAGAAACGUGUUUAAAAUGUGAUAAAUUUUUCCACAAUAUUUUAUAGCAAAUGGCAAAUAAUUUAAAGUUUCUUUGAAGCAAGAAUUAGGCAAAGAAGCAUGUAUAUAUAUACAUAUAAUGUAAUUAAAAUUUAUAUUAUAGUGAUGCAAAAUCGUUUCAUAAGCCACUUCAUCUCUCUCUGUUUCAUGGCAUCUUAAGUACACAAAAAGAGAAAAAGGGAAAAAGAGACCUAAUAUAAUAUGUGUUCUUUAAUUGGUGGAUUUUUAUUUAGCAUUAUUAAUUCAUCAAUCACCAAGAAUAUUUAUUCUCAACAAAGUUAUUGAAUGAUAUUAAAUUUACAAGAACUAAAUGAUAUAUCAUUUCGUUUCAUAUUAAAUUUUUGUAAGUUUAGAUAAUUUAUGAAAGUAGGUUUGUUAUGUUUAGGUUAACUAAACACAUACAUGUUAAAUUGAAUAUGUGUUUUAUCUUGGUCAAUUGUGCAAAGUGGAUCCGUGGCGCAAUGGUAGCGCGUCUGACUCCAGAUCAGAAGGUUGCGUGUUCGAUUCACGUCGGGUUCAAUGUCCAUUUUUUAUUUUAGUCAUUUGUGAUCACAAAUAAAUUUAAACCUCAUAAUCAUUGCAUUUUAGGUUAUUGUGUAAAGUUAUAAAACAUUACAAAGUGGAACAAGUAUUGAUAUGAUUUCGUUCCAAUUAUAAUUUAUUUUUAUAGUUUAAUGAGACAUACGAAAAAGCCAACACUUUAGUAUUUUGCCUCUUGAACUUUACUUAAGUUAUAUAUAAAAAAUUAAUAAUGUUGUUGACCACAUGCCUCCUCUUUAAUUGCCACUAAGGUACUACACUAUAGAGAAGAGCUAAUGAGUCCUUGUUUUCUAUAUAAGGAGAUGGAUGAAUGCAUUCUAAGCAUACAUUCCUAUCCAUGGCUAUCUCUAGAGUGUUGUGCAUUGGCUUUCUUCUUUUUGUAGGUUUAGGGUUAGCUUCGGCUACCCGAACUCUUCUUGAUUAUGAUCCACGUGCACGUCGUUAUGAUUACGAUCAUCCUACUCCAAGAGUAGGGUACGAUCCAAGUCAUCGUGAUCAAUCAUAUGAUAAUGCAUACAGUGGAAGUUCUAGUAAAGGAUAUGGAAUUGGAGACUCUACUCUUGGAGGUUCUGGACGAUAUGGAGGUGGCAAAGGACAUGAUUCCGGAUAUGGAGGUCGAAAUGAUGAUCGCAGUACUGGAUAUGGAGGUCGAAAUGAUGACCGCAGUGAUGGAUAUGGAGGUCGAAAUGAUGACCGCGGUGCUGGAUACGGAGGUCGAAAUGAUGAUCGCGGUGUUGGAUAUGGAGGUCGAAAUGAUGAUCGCGGUGUUGGAUAUGGAGGUCGAAAUGAUGAUCGUGGAGUUGGAUAUGGUAAUGGUGGUAGAUAUGGAAGUGUAGGAGGACAUGGUGAUGGUUAUGGUAACAAUGGUGGUGGAAGCUAUGGAGAUCGUUAUGGCCCUUCUCUUGGAGGUUCAGGAAAAGGAAGUAACAAUGGCUAUAACGAUCAUUCUCGUGGAAAUGGAGGACGUGACAGUGGCUAUGGAGAUUCACAUGGACAUGAAGGACGUGAGAGUGGAAAUGGAAGCGGUGGAGGAGUUAGUGGUGGCUAUGGUAAUGGAGGAGUACAUGGAGGAGAGUAUGAUAAUAGCAAAGGAAGUGGAGAAGAAGGGGGUAAUGAUGGUGGAUAUGCUGUCAAAAAUUCUAUCUCAAAGGAGAAUUGAGAAUUCCUCUUUUUCAAGUAAUGAACCCAAUAUCAUAUUAUGUUAACGAGAAAUAAAGAAAUUGGGUGAGAGAAUGUUGUGUUUUAAAUUUAUGUUGAAUUUUCUUUGAAUAAUUCGAAUCAAUAGGUACAAUGAUAAUCAAAUUUGGAUUAUGUUUGUUGUGACAAAUUGACUGUACCCUAUUUUGUUAUAUUUCUCUAUAGAUUUUUUUAUAUAUAUCCAUAUUAAUACGGGUGAUUUUGAACUGAAUCAAAUGACAUAAACAAAGAGAAAAAAAUAUUGUCUAAAAGUUUAUUUGUUAACACCUUAUAAUUCUUAGUAACUUUUUCAAUGAAUGUGUGAUAUUAUAAAAAUAAGUUGUUUCAUGGGAUUCCAAGGAUGGACAAAAGAUGCAUAAAAUACUCUAACUAAUAAAAUGUACACCAUUCCAAACGUGCUAUAUUUUAUGAUUUUCAAAGUUAAACUUUGAAACAAUCUUUUAACACCUUCUAAACACAAAUUAUUUAUCAUACAUGGUGGGCUAAUCAAGUCCAAACUAAUUAAUAGGUCAAACCCAUCAUUCCAAUUGUCUGCUACACGUAACUUAUAAAAAUUUUCAAGAUUUAGUUUGAAUAUUUUAAAUUCAAUGUUUCAAGUUUUUUUAACAAAAUUGAAAAAACUUCACCAUUUUCUUGAGAUUUUCUUAUUAUGAUUACAUCCUUUAAUUUGUUGAAUAAUUAUGUACGAUCUUGUUGCAAGAGAAUAAUAUAUAUAUAUUAUUAUAUUAUAUAUAUACAUACAUUCAUUCAUUUAGGUUUAUGUGGUUCAAAAUCUUUCUACCCUCAAUUAUACUUAAAAAGCAUUGGUUGCACUCUUCUCUUCCAAACCAUGAUAGUUUUUAGGAAAAAAAAGAAACAUGUUGAUGAAAGAGAAUUAGACUACGAUGAUCAUUCUCGUGGAUAUGAAGCGCGUGACAACGGAUAUGGGAGUGGUGGAGGAGUUGGUGGUGGCAGCGAAAAAGGUGGUUAUGGUAAUAGAGAGGUGUUCAUAAAGGAGAAUAUGAUAAUCGGAAAGGAAAUGGGGAAGAAGGAGGUUCUAAUGGUAGAUAUGCACUCAAAAUUAAUUUCAUCUAAUCAAAAGAGAAUUGGAAACUUUUUUUUAAGCAAUGAACCCAAUAUUCAUAUUAAUUGGGCAACAAAAAUAAAGAAAUUGGGUAAGAGACAACGUUGUUUUAUAAAUCUUAUAUGUCAUUAGUUUACUUUUUGGUGAAAGUAAAUAAUUUGGAUUAAGUAUGCAUUUGUAUUAGAACAAAUUGAAUCCAACCAUAUACACAUUAUUUUACUUUUUUAAUAAUAUUUUUUAUUAAAUUAGAUGGUUUUAUUUUAAAAUUAAUUGAUAAUUACGUGAAUAGUAAUAUGUAUAUCUUAUAAACAAUAAUGUUGAUCUCUUCAAUUUUUUAUAUGCAGAAUUAUCAACAUUCUCCACCUAAUGUUCUAGGUUAUUUUUGUAAUCAAAGUGUAACUCUCAGACAAAAACAAAAACGAAAAAACCAAGAAAAUAACUAAAUUUUCAUUUAAAAAGAGAAAAAAGAAUAGCAUAUCAAACAUCCAUCCAAAAUAAGCAUAAUUAAGGGAGAGGGGGCCUAUACGUCAAUUGCUUAGUCUAAACCAAGACUAACAAAUGCCUUGUCCUAUGAUAAAAUAUUUAUAUUUCAAAGAUACAUAUAUUUUCACUACAUCCAAGAUCAAGAGCCAUUGUAUUAUAACAAAAGAUUGUACAAAAGGGGAGUUGGGGAGAAACUUAGAGUCAUAAUGUUCAAAGAGAUCUAAUUAAUACUUGUAAAAUUUUAAGAGCUAAAAUUUUGUAACAGAGAUUGAGAGUGUAAUCGCAACAAAUAAUCAUACUUCAAUGGUUGAUUAAUUUAUCAAGAAAAGUUUUAAAAAAACAUUUAAUGACAGUCAACAUCAACCCUUUCACGUCAUUAAAAGAAAAUUGGAACUUUGCCCACAUUUCUUUAUUAUUUUGCUAUUAAAAAUUAAUUUUGAUUCAAUCAAUUUUUUAGUUAUCAACUACUAUUCUUAAAAAAAUAUAUAUAUAUACAAAAAUUACGAAAAAGAAAUAUUACUUCUCAAACAAGAAUCAUCUUAAAUAAUCAUCCUAUCCAUUUUAAAAAAUAUAUAUAUUUUCAAUAAAUUAAAUAAUAAAAUUAUUGAAAAUAUUUAUAAAUAUAACUAAAAUAAAACUCUAAAAUCGAUGGAGGAUGUAACUUAUGAAAGUCUAUUAGCAUCUAUCAUUAACAUAUUCUAAAAUAUUUUUGUAAAUAUAUUUUGUUUCAUUUUGCUAUACUUAAAAAUAACCUUCCACAAAUUUAAAACUCAAAUUAAUCAAAACCAAUCCCAACAAAUAUUUUGUAUAAUUUAUGCGAUGUGCAUAAAUACGCAUUUUCCCACCAUAUUUGAUAGCAAAUGGCAAAUUAUUUAAUGUUUGUUUGAAGCAAGAAUUAGGCAAAGAAGCAUAUAUCUAUAUAAUAUGUAACUAGAUCUUAUAUUAUAGUGAUGCAAAAUCGUUUCAUAAGGCACUUCAUAUCUCUCUGUCUCAUGGCAUCUUAAGUACACAAAAUGAGAAAAAGGGAAAAAGGGCCCUAAUAUAAUAUGUGUCCUUUAAUUGGUGGAAUUUUAUUUAGCAUUAUUAAUUAAUCAACCGUGUAAAAUAUGGUAGGAAGAAUUAUUCUAAUGAUGAAUGAAAAUUUUAGGUUGGGAGGUCCCAUAUAUGAAGCAUAUGAGAAAUUUUCAAUCUUAAAAGAGUGAAUUAUCAAAUUAAAUUUACAUGAACGAAAUGAUAUAUCAUUUGGUUUGUAUUAAGUUUGUUUAAGUUUAGAUGAUUUACGAAAAUAGGUUUGUUAUGUUUAGGUUGACAAAACGACACUGUAUUUAGAUGAUGGUGUAAAUUUUAACAUGUUAAACAUGUGUUUUAUCUUGGUUUAUUGUGAUCUAAUACAAAUAAAUAUCGUUAUUGAAUUUUAGGUUAUCGUGUAAAGUUGUAAAAUAUUACAAAGUGGUGCAAGUGGGAAAAUGGGAUCAAAAGGAGAGUAUUGAUAUGAUUUCGUUCCAAUUAUAACUUAUUUUUUUAGUUUAAUGAGACAUAGGAAAAAGCCUACACUUUAGUGUUUUGCCUCUUGAACUUCCUUUGAGCUAUAUAUCCAAAAUUAAUAAUGAUUUUUUAGCACGUGUCUCCUCUUUAAUGGCCUCUAAGGUACCACACUAUAGAGAAGAGCUAAUGAAUCCUUGUUUUCUAUAUAAGGAGAUGGAUCCAUGCAUUCUAAGCAUACAUUCCUAUCCAUGGCUAUUCCUAAAGUGUUGUGCAUUGGCUUUCUUCUUUUUGUGGGUUUAGGGUUAGCUUCGGCUGCCCGAACUCUUCUUGAUUAUGAUCCACGUACACGUCGCUAUGAUUACGAUCAUCCUACUCCAAGAGUAGGGUACGACCCAAGUCAUCGUGAUCAAUCCUAUGAUAGUGCAUACAGUGGAAGUUCUAGUAAAGGAUAUGGAGUUGGAGACUCUGCUCUUGGAGGUUCUGGACGAUAUGAAGGUGGUGGAGGACGUGAUUCCGGAUAUGGAGGUCGAAAUGAUGAUCAUGGUGUGGGAUAUGAAGGUCGAAAUGAUGGUCGUGGUGCUGGAUACGGAAGUCGAAAUGAUGAUCGCAGUGCUGGAUAUGGAGGUCGAAAUGAUGAUCGUGGUGCUGGAUAUGGAGGUCGAAAUGAUGAUCGUGGUGCUGGAUAUGGAGGUCGAAAUGAUGAUCACGGUGCUGGAUAUGGAAGUCGAAAUGAUGAUCAUGGUGCUGGAUAUGGAGGUCGAAAUGAUGAUCGUGGGGUUGGAUAUGGUAAUGGUGGUGGAUAUGGAAGUGUAGGAGGACAUGGUGAUGGUUAUGGUAACAAUGGUGGUGGAAGCUAUGGAGAUCGUUAUGGCCCUUCUCUUGGAGGUUCGGGAUAUGGAAGUGGAGGAAAAGGAAGUGGCAAUGGCUAUGAUGAUCAUUCUCGUGGAAAUGGAGCACGUGACAAUAACUAUGGAGAUUCUCACGGACAUGAAGGACGUGACAGUGGAUAUGGAAGUGGUGGAGGAGUUAGCGGAGGCUAUGGCAAUGGAGGAGUUCAUGGAGGGGAGCAUGAUAAUAGCAAAGGAAGUGGAGAAGAAGGGGGUAGUGAUGGUGGAUAUGCUUUCAAAAAUUCCAUCUCAAACAAGAAUUGAGAACUCUCUUUUAAGCAAUGAACCCAAUAUCAUAUUAUGUUAAAGAAAAAUAAGGAAAUUGGGUAAGAAUGAAUAAUGUUGUGUUCUAAAUGUAUGUUGAAUUUACUUCAAAUGAAUGCUAAAUUUGAAUCAAUGAAUUAUGUUUGGAUUAUGUUUGUUGUUACAAAUUGAUUCCACCUUUCUUUUUGUUUUGUUUCUCUAUACAUUUUUCUAUAUAUCCAUAUUAAUAUGGAUUGAUUUUGGACCGAAUCGAAUGACAUAAUAAUCUAUGCCAAAUAAGAGUAAAACCACAUAGCCAAGAAAAUGAUAAGAGUAAAAGGAAAAAUAGUAUGUACAAUGUAAGACAAAUAAUUGUGUCUAGGAGAAGAGGGUGUUACUCAAGCCAAUGCAUUUAACCUCGACAAGACUCAACCUCAAGUUGAGCCUAACAAAAUGUCUAGUUGGGCAUACCCUUGUCAAAAUGCAUCACUUUAAUUAAGACUAAAAUAAACAUAUAGAGAAGGGAGUUUGAGCUUGAUAGGUCGAGACCAAUCCUAGCAGAAUAUUAAACAGAACUUGCCCUUCACAUGCCUCAACCUAAGUGAGUUGAAAAGGUUAUCGUAUCGUACCUCCAAAACUCUAUUCGGACAUAACCUAACUAAUUAACUAGGUUUAUUUAAUUCUACAAAUAAAUCAUUAGAGCUCUACAGAAACAAACUCUAUUCUCACUCAAUUUCUUUGACAUUUUUCAACUCUCUCUAAAAGCCAAAUAGGCACAACCCUAAAUCCUUACAUCUUCAAACCCUGUGUUUUAAUUACUAUGGAUAAAAGAGAACACAAAUCAAAUUUUACUUUCUUAUAUUUAGAUCAUAUUUCUUUUGAAAUUCAAAGUAAUGGAUAACACAAUAUGCUUCCAUUUCUAAUUUAAAUGAAAAUUUCAACAUUCCUAAUUACUGAUUUAUUUACACAAAAUAGCCCAAAGUAAAUAACUAUAAGUGAGUUUUCUUUACUAUUAUUUUGGUGAGUGAAGAUACUAUGAGUUUUUAUAUCACUAAAAUGUGAUAAUUUUUCCAACCAUUAUUGUAUUAGCAAAUGGGAAAUAAAUUAUUUAAUAAUGUAUCUAUAAAGUGGGAAGAAUUAGGGAAACAAAAUGCAUAAUUAAAUAUGUAAAAAAACUAUAGUAAUGCUAUGUCGUUUCAGAAACCAUUUGAAGAGUUAAGGAAAAAAGAGGGGAAAAAAAGCUCUAAUAUAAUAUAUGCUCUUUAGUCCUUUUUCUUAAAAAAAAAUUAAUGCUCUUUAAUUAGUUUGAAAUAGCCAUAUAAAUUAAAUAUCUUCCUAAAAGGAAAGAUGGGUUCUCAAGAAAAAAUAUAUUUCAAUGCUUCUUUUUCUUUUUCUUUUUCUUAAUCCUUGUUGAUGAAGAGAAUUCAGGCUUAAAAAUGGAGAAUUUCAUAUUUUCUAAUAUUUUACACUUUUUUCAACCUCAUAAACAAAUUUUGAUUAAAUGGUUGUAGUAAAGAUACUUUUCUUUUUUUUUCACCAAAAACAGCUUUAUUUUAUUUUAAUCUUCUGUCAUAUUUGUAUCGAGAAAAUUAAAUAAAUACUAUUUUUUUUCAAUAUAUUUAAUUUCGUUUUAAAAUAAAGGGAAAAUCCCUAGAAAUCAUCACUUUUCUCUUCUUCUUUGAAGACCCUCUUCUUUUAUGGUAUAACUUUCAUUAGUUGUUCUUAAUAUGCUUCUUUUAACUUUAACUGUCAAAUAUAUAUAUACACAUACAACGAUAAUUUAUCCUUAAUAUCAGAUAUAAAGUUUUUUUUAUGCAUGGCUCUAAUCCAAAAGACUUCAAAAAAAAAAUUACCAAAAUGUAAAUCGAUGAUGAGAAAUUAAAAAAUUGAUAUGGCUAAUGUUUAAUAAGCUAGAUUGAUUGAUAAGUUACUCAUCCCACAAUUACUUGAUUUUGAGAUGAAACGUCAAGUUAUCUAAUAUUAUAUCGUAACUCGCGAAAACAUAAACGAACAUUCAGAUCAAAAAAAUAAAUAUUGGAGUCCAAUUCAAGAAUGAUGAACCCAAAGAGAGACAUCAUUUAUCAAUGGUGUGUAUACUAGCCAAGGAUCUUAUCAUGCUAGAAUAAUUGAGGGACCUUUUAUGUUUAUAUAUAAGAUGUAUAUGUUUCUUCUCUUAUAUUUUAUAUUGGUUUUAAGAUGUAAAGCUCAUGUUAUCUAAUAUAUGAUGUCGGUUGUUCGAAAAUUCGAUGUAAAAAUAGUAAAUAAUCGAAAGAAGCACGGAUCCCAAAAGGACAUAUCAAGGAAACCUCACACCAUGCAUCUUUAUAAGUCCCUCACACCAUGCAUUCAAAAACUAUAAUUGAGGGACCUCACACCAUGUCAUGCAUCUUUAUAACGUCAAUCAUACAUAUCUAUUAUUAAUUUCCUCUCAUAUGGCUCAUGAUAUACUACGUGUAACAAUUUUUCAUUGCCAAGAAAUUUCCAAAUUGUAAUAGUGGUAAGUUAUGAAAUGAUUUUCUUACAAAUAUCUUCAUAGAUAAAUUAAUAAUAAAACAUCAUGUGUGAACGGCAGAAUCCAAUUGACUGAAAAAUCAUUUUGGAGUAAUAUUAUCGGUUGUGAGCACAAUCCUUUGAUCUAUUUGGUGGGAAAGAAACAGUAGAACCUUUACUUGAGAAGCUAUAAUUCUUACAUUUUUAUUAAUUAUCAUAUUACUUCGUCUUUAUUUUAAAAAUAUUCAUACAAGACAUGAGAGAUUAGCAUAGGCAUUCAAAUAUCAAUACCUUUGAACAAAAAAGCUUUUCCUUGGCCCUAAAAAAGUUGUACAACAAUUAACAAAACACUCCAAUAUUAAGGUUAAUAGGAAGAAUGCCUAAACUUAACUAUAAAAAUUGUUUGGAACUACAAAACUAAGCAAACUAAGGUGGCUAAACUCAACAUGAAAAUAAAGAAGAGUAAUUUAAACUUAGAUAUUUAUUCAUGUCACCUAAACUUUUAAAGUCGUUUUUGAUUGCAUGCUCCUCUAAACUUUAUCAAAUCUUGCGAGAUCAUGUAAGGGGAAAGAUGGAAUCAACUUAGCCUUACUUUAAUUUAAUAUGUUUUAGUACCACAUGUCAACAUAAAAUAAAGAAAUUAGGUUAGAGAGAAGGUUGUGAUCUAAAUCUAAGUACAUUAAUUAAUGUCAAAUUUCAAUCCAUGUUUGAAUGAUAAACAAAUUUGGAGUAAAGAAUAUUACUCAACCAUACAUAAGUAAGACUUCAACUCUAAUUGAAAGGGGCUGACAAGUAUAGUUACUCCUAAACUGUCUACAAAUAUUAAAUAUUAUAUGAAGACAAUAAAGUUAAGGGGAGUUCGAGUCCCCUAGACCUAUACUAAAUCCGUCGGUCAUGGUGAUGGUGCACAACACUCAAUUGUUCAACACAACUAUGAUGAAUUUUUUUGUUUGUUGGGAGAGAAAACACUAAUAUGUUUUAUUUCAUUAAAAUGUGAUAUUUUUGUCCCAUGAUUAUUGUAUAGAGAAAUGGGAAAUUAUAUAUAUAGUGUAAGCUUCAAGUGGGAAUUAGGAAACACAUGCAUAAAUAUAAAGUUACGAUAAUUAUAGUAAUGCAAUGUCGUUUCAGAAGCCCAUUAUUCAUCCUCUCAAUUAUCUCAUGCAUGGUGGCUCUCAUCAAGUUGAGAAAAAGGAAAAAAAAUAGGCCUAAUAAAAUAUAUGUUCUUUGUUUCUUGGUAACCAUUGUAAAUUAAUCGUAAUAUAAAUAUCUUCUAAAAGAGAAAAAAAGAAGACUCUCAAGACAAAUUAUCAUGCUUCGUCAAUCCUCUUUUUUUUUUUUUUUUUUUUCCUCAAUCUUUAAUGAUAGAAGAAAAUUUUAGCUCAAUAAAAUUGAAAUUUUUGUAUUUUAAAAAAUUUAUGAUGUUUUUUAACACGUGUAUAUAUAUAUAAUGAACAAUAUAACAAAAUAUCACAUUAAGUUUUACUAUAUAUUUAUAAAUAUUUUUUUAAUUAAUUUUUUCACUUAAUUUAAAAAUAUUUUUUCUAUAUAAAUAUUAUUAAUAAAGAACAAUUACAUUAGCUUCUCUUUUUACGUAUAACUCUUACUUUGGAUUGAACUUUUAACUCUUGAAAAGAGCAUUAGUGAGCCAAUUAAUUCACUUUGACUACAUAACUUUCUUUAGUUGCUUAAUAUAUUUGUUUUGGUGUUAAACUAUCAUUAUAACAGAACAAUUAGGAUAGUUUUCAUUUUCGUGUAUAACGUUUUUCUAUGGUCGAUAUCUAAGGAAAUAAUCAAAAAAACAAAUGUACUUACAAUAAAUUUCAUUGUGUCAUAAAAUGAAAUUUCCAAAUUAUGUAAGUGUUAAGUUGUAAAAGUUGAUAAUCAAAUUUCAAUGUGAAAUUAUAUAUUUUGGAAAUAUCUGCACCAUAGACAAAAAUUAAUAAACAAACUUCUCAAAAUUAAGUGUGUUAAUUAUAAGAGAAUGCCUAAACUUAACUAUAAAAAAAUAAGUUGGAGCCAAAACUAAUUAGCUAAAAUAUUAAGGUGAAUUUAUCACAAAAAGUACAAACAAGUGAAGUAAGGUGGUGUUGCAUAAAGCCUACUGAUUUUCAACUUUGGCUUUCUAAAUUUGAGCUCCUCACGUUUUCACACAAAAGCUUCUCACAACCUUUGAAUAAGAUCCUCUCAAAAGAACAUCAACUACUGAUGUAUUAAACUAAUAAAGAGCCAGCCUAGUUUACUUGACUACUAGUAACAUCCUCAACAGUGACGUACAUUUAAUUUCACAAACAGUGCGUAAGGAUUAAGGUUAAACAAUCUCUCAAAACAUGCACACACAGUAUUUUUAACAGAGCUAAUUAACCCUAAAAAUAAACAAAACUCAUAAUAUAUAUGGAAGCUGAUCUUGAGCAGAUAGGAAAAAAGAUUAUCAAAAAGAAUAGAAAAACAAAUUAAAUCAGCAGGUUUAAUUUUCCCUACACGGUUCAAUAGAUUAAGAAAAAAAUCUUGAUACAAAAUUCGAAGGAGAAAUAUAGAUUUUGACAGAAAAUGUUACAAAACAAGUUGCUCAAGUUUUGCUUGUAACAAAAUCCGCCAAUCGUAGUACAGUAACACAUAAGCAACUAAAAUGACUGAUCUCAACAAGAAUGGAAACACUAGAUAUGUUACAAGAGAACAUGCAUAAAUACAGUUUGGUCUAAUUAAAAAAACAGUGUCUUAGAUAACACAAGAAGGUAGAAAAAUAGAUGAGAGAGUAAUCAAACUUAGCUGACAAAUAUGGAUAUUAAUGAAUUUCACCUGAACUUUAUAUAGUUUUUCUUUACUCUUCUCUAAAUCUUACCAAAUAUUGCAAGAUCGUGUAAGUGGACAAUGGAAUAAUCGUAAUAAUCAAUUGAAGCCUUACAUAAAAUAUCGAUGUGUUUUAGUACCAAAAUCGAACUUUAGUUAGUACCUAAUAUGACAAAAGGCCUCACUACGUAGUAUUUUGCCUCAUGGACAUCCAUGGAGAAGUUGAUGAACCCACCACUUUUUUUAAACAUAUGACACCCUCUUUACCGUGAAGGACACCAUAGAGAAGUUGAAGAGACCCUCCACCCAUUUCCUAUAUAAAGAGAUCAAUGCAUGCAUUUUCUUGGCAUUCUACUCAUUCUCUAAUUCUCUCCAUGGCUAUCCUUAGAGCACUGUGCCUUGCCUUUCUUCUCUUUGUACGGUUAGGUUUAGCUUCGGCUACUAGAACUCUUCUUGAUUAUGAUCCACGUACACUUCAAUAUGGCUAUGAUCGUCCUAGUCCAAGAGUAGGGUAUGAUCCUGGCCAUGGGGAUGAAUCCUAUGAUAAGGCAUACGGUGGAAGCUCUAGUAGAGGACAUGGAAUUGGAGACUCUGCUCUUGGAGGUUCUGGAUACGAAGGUGGUGGAAGACACGAUUAUGGAUAUGGAGAUCGACAUAAUGAUCGUGGGGUUGGAUAUGGUAAUUAUGGUGGUGGAUAUGGAGGUGUAGGAGGACAUGGUGAUGGUUAUGGUAACAAUGGUGGUGGAAGCUAUGGAGAUCGUUAUGGACCUUCUCUUGGAGGUUCAGGAUAUGGAAGUGGAGGAAAAGGAAGUGGCAAUGGCUAUGACGAUCAUUCUCGUGGAAAUGGUGCACGUGACAAUAGCUAUGGAGAUUCUCAUGGACAUGGAGGACGUGACAGUGGAUAUGGGAGUGGUGGAGGAGUUACUGGUGGCUAUGGUAAUGGAGGAGUGCAUGGAGGAGAGUAUGAUAAUAGCAAAGGAAGUGGAGAAGAAGGAGGUUAUGAUGGUGGAUAUGCUGUUAAGAACUCCAUCUCAAAGGGAAAUUGAGAAACCCUUGGCUUCUUUUUCUUAUUAUACUAUGCCAGCUAAAAUAAAAAUAUGGGGUAAGGGAUCAAGAAUAUUGUUAUCUAAAUCUAUGUUUGAGUUGCUCUUGUAAUGAAUGUAAUUAAUGAUAUAAACAAAAUUUGGAUUACAUUUUGUAUGAACCAAGUGAUUGGACCAUAUACACUUCUAUUCUUAUUAACUUUGAUUUGAGUAACACAAGCAAUAAUUAAACUUUUUUAUUUAUGACUAAUUUUAAAACUUGGGUUAAUAAUGAUGCAAUAUACAUGAAGAUGUGGGAAGAGAAAGGUAUACAGAGUGUGGUGCUCACCCCACACUCAAACUUUGAUGAAUUCCUUUUUUAUUUUCUUUUUACAUAGUUUUAAAAUAACUUGACAUUUACUUCACAAGACUAAUAUCCUUUUCUAAUACUCAUUUAAAUAGUUUUUGUCAUGACGAGAUGGAUCCCAGAGUUGAUUAGUUUUAAAAUUUUACCUUUUCUAAUAUGACAAUGCUAUAAUCUUAAAUCGGUUUAGAAAAUCUAUUUUAGUAAUUGGAAACUCCUUUAGAUUUUUUUAAAUUCAUAUAAUCGUGAAAAUAUAAAUUAUGCAGAAGAGGUUUAGAAAACAAAAUUCAUGCAAUAGCCAAAUUUGCACUUCCUUUGCUAUUAUCAUACUCUCCUAUUUUUUUGUGAUUUUUCAUUUUUAACUAUAAUUUUACAUAUAUGUGCAUAUCAUAUAUAUAUAUUGGACAUGGUGCAUAAGCACUUUGAGAUUUAUAUAUCUCUCUAUAAAACGUGAUCAUUUUCCCUCCAUUAUUAAUUAUAGUAUUAUGAUAUCAAAUGGAAUAGAUUAUGUCUCAAGGUGGGAAUUAAUUAUAUAUUUAGCAUUGUAAAUGCAAAGUAGUUUGAGAAAACCCAUUUCUUCAUCUCAAUGAUCUAAAUGACAUAAACAAAGAGAAAAAUAGUAAUAAUUAAACCUAAUAAAUGUAUAAUAUAUAUAUGUGCGUGUGUUCUUUAAUAUUUUUACCUUGGUAGGUUUUUAAUUAUAUGCAUUAUUAAUUUUAAUAAUAAAUAUAUUUAAUUAUUACACCUACACUUAAAAGUUUUUUAUUUGCCCCAAAUCUUGGUAGAUCUUUCAAGCAAGUGGAAGGAUUUAGAUCAAAAGGCUAACUUAAAUAAUUGAUAUGAAAUUAGUUCAAAUCUACUUUUGGCCCUAAUCUUCUCACACCAAAAUUAUAUUGUGUUCCCCUACACAAUAGGGCUGCCUCUUCAACCUCUCUAUGAAGAUGAAAUGUCCUUUUUUAAGGAGAUAUUCAUGGAUGAUGCAUUAUUCUAAGCAAAUCUCUCCAGGAUUAAUAUUCCUAUUGGAUUUCCUUUUUCUUGUGGGUCGAAGAUUGAAGUUUUCUCGACUAUAGUUCUUAUACACAUCACUACAAUUCAUUACAAGCAUCAUAUCCUAAUCCAAAUGUAAAAUAUAGGAUCGUAUUUAUUGUGGUUGAACAUUUCAAAGUGUAAGAAUAUGAACAUCAACCACAACCUCUUAGAUUGAUUGUGUUUAUAUAAUGCAAAGACUAAAAGAGAUAUCAUUCCAUAAACCUUUAUAUAUAUAUAUAUAUAUAGAGAGAGAGAGAGAGAUAUAUAUAUAUAAAGAUAAAUUAAAUAACAUAUAUAUUUAGAAUACUCUAAGACGUAAUAUAAUGUUGGUAGUCGCAAUGCAAAAUCAAAGUUUUUUAAAUUGAUUUGCAUGUAAUGAUCUCACAACGAUCUGUUUCAUCUCACUUUCAAACCCAUCAGUUCAUUAGUAUUGGGCCUUGAUUAGCUCUCUAACAAAGCCCAAUAGUGUACAUAUUCAUCUCGAUUUUUCUAUGUUUUCUACCUCACUUUAGUUGUGUUAUAGGUCUCACAAUUUAGUAUUAUUCUAGAAAGUAAACUCAAGACGACGUCAAUCUGAUUUACAUGCUGUUAGGACGAGAGAAUUUUAUGUACAAACUCCAUAAUAUUUGAUUUAAUUCACUUGUCGACUUUUUAUAAAUUUGUGACUAGAAGUAUAUAUCUCGACUAUCUUUUGAUCAAUUUCUACACAGUUCUGUAAAUUUGUAUAAGAUGGAGGUUAUUUCAGCUUAUAGCCCUUGCGAUUAUGUAUUGCUUAUCUAAUUUGAGUUUGAAUAUGAGAAGUGUAUUGUAAUUGUAUAUAUCCAGUUAAAGUGUAUAAUCAGAUUGCUAAUGUAUAUAUGUUAGUAUAUGAAGAGAAGAAGAAGAAGAAGAAAUGUAAAGGUUGUUGAAGCUAAGUGUGGAACAAAAGGAGAGAUCCACUAGAGGGAAGCAAUAUGAGAUAAUGGAUCGACCCCACACGUUGUUAUGAUUCAAAACACUAAAGACAAAGAGAUUUGGGGAUUUGCAUGUGGGAAAUUCAUAAAUAUGUCCAUUAUACUUUCUCUUUUGCUGCUGCUUUUCUACUUCAUAGUUCACACAAACCCUUCUUUCUCCAAACUUACCCAAUUAUAUGUCACCUAACUUAGGUUAAAACAUAUAACACUACGAACCUCCGAGUCUACCUCCAAACGUUACUGUUAUAUUAUCAAAAUCUUGUGCUAAUUUAGUCUCUAUUGACAUUUUAUUUGUAUCAUACCUUUGAUAUUUUACUGAUCAUGGGAGAGAUAUUUGCUCCACACGCUCCUAUAUAGCAUUUCUUCGUAGUCUCUUUUAACCGUUAGAGCUAUCAAAUAGUGGCUCUUUCUUUAGCAACGGUUGUUAAAAAUGUAUUUUUCAAUGGCACUCUAUCUAAAGAGGGGUGUAUAUGAAAUCACCAUUGUGGCAGCUUUUCUUUCCCCUUAUAAAAUGUGUCUUCUUUAACACACGUCUUGUAUGGUCCUAAAACAAGUUUCACGCAGGUCUAGUUUCACCUAACUUGAGUUUACUUCUAAUUCUCACGAUACAACACUUUCUAUGAGUUAAACUCUUCAAGAAAUAUCGUUCCUCCUAUAUGCUGAUCAUAUGAUUAGUAUAGAUGAUGAUCCUUAAGCUAUAUCGAAUAUGCAAUGUUGCCUUAAAUGAUUCUCUAAUUAGGACCACUCCACUAUUUCCUUGGCCUUUGAAAGUUUCAUCCCCCUCUAAUGGGGUAUUCAUCUCAAGCAAAAUAUACUAAUUCUCAUCCCUAAGUAAAUUAUAAAUAUACUUUUGAUCUCCUAGCUCAUUCUAGUAUAUUACUGAGACCUUUGUUGAUCACGUCAUCAAAGACUACUAGAACUCUUUUUAACUCCUUUUGAUAGUGCUCUUCUCGAAAAUGCAACUCUAUAUUGACAACAUACUAGUAGUCUUAUUUAUCUCGUUGUGGGUUGAUCAAAUAUUGCAUAUAUUGCUCAGAUUAUUAUUUGGUUGCUUCAAUGCUAAUUUUGUUGGUGAGGAUCGGUGUUCUCAUUUGGUGUAGAUAUAAAAAAACAAACUACAGUAUCUCGCACUUGGUAAUAUUAUUUCUCAGUUUUCAUAUUGGUUUCUUGGAGUGUUCCUCAGUAGUCUACUAGUUAUAUUUGUGUGACCAUCGUAGUGCUUUUUUAGAUUGCAAAUUGUGUGGUUUCUUCUAGAAACAUACCAAGCACAAUAAAAUUGAUUGUCACUUUGUCCAUCAUCAUCUCCCAAGCAAGAUCGUUCUAUCCCCACUAAAUCAGUAACCCAUUGAAAUCCUCACAAAAGUGUUAUCCCCCAAACACUUCUCUAUCCUACUUCACAAACUCAAGUUGGUGUCUGCCUUUUUCCACUCAUAACAAAAAAGCACCUCACAUCUAAAACUUCAACCAUUUUCAAGUUACAAAAUUUACUCUUCUACUGUGACAGCCCUUUUAAGAAGAAUGGGUUUUCAAUAAUAGAAAACAAAGAUAACAAUAAAAUAAAGUAAAAGAUUUAUAAGAGAGUGUGUAAUUUGAAAUCAAGUUCAAAUUCAAUUAAUACAUAACUCUAAAUAUUAUCAAACUAGCUGCCUACUCUCAUGAUAAACUUUUUGUUAGUUUUUCACAAUGUGAAAAAACUUGGAAUAGUUUAAUUAUUCUCAACAUUAUUUAUAAAGUCGGUGACCUAAUUUCUUACUAUAAUCAUAUCAACUAGAGAUAGAUAUAGAAUGAAUGUUAGUUCAUUAAUUUAAUGAUGAGUAGUAGCUAGGUAAAUGAACUACUAUGUAUUCAACUAUUUGUUGAAUGUCCCAUCAAUCCAUAUCUAACUAAGAAAAUAACAUAAAAACAUUAAGUUAAACAAGUGAUGAAAAAAUUUGUUAUAUAUAUUUAUUUUAUUUCUUCGGACGAUAAUUUUUUUUUUAUUUGUAUGGGUGUUCUAAACAUUUUCAAACUUAAAAGUGACAAAAAUCGGUUAAAAGAUUGGUAUGUAACUAUAUUAGUCAUAACUUAUAAACUUUAGCUUUUGGGUUGAAAACAGUUAUUUAUGUGGUAUCAGGACAAGAAAAUUGUGUAUAAACUCCAUGAUAUUUGAUUUUUGGUGUUAUUAUCACCAAGCAUGUCCUCUCUUUCCUAAAUUAAAAAUUUUGUGUUAUUAUCAUAUGAAAGUCAGGUAUGUUUUCUUAUAUUUAAAUUAUUGAAAGUGAAUUAGGUUAAAAGUUUUUUAUUUCCUUCUAAUUUUUUUUACUUAAUAAAUUGUCUUGGUAAUUUUUUUUUUAAAAUAAUCAUAAGAAAGAGCAUAUGUUGAAUUGGAAAUAUAUCAACUAAGUUAACAAACCCUUACUACUAUCUGUCACAUCCUAACCAAAAGAGAUAAUAUUGUCUUGGUAAUUUUUAACCUUCAAUUUCCAAUUCAUCACAUGGAAGCUAAACAAAGGGGUUAUGGAGCAUCAAUAGUUCAAGUUGGUUGUUUGGUAGAAAACACUCAUUGAGGUAUGGGAAACAGCAAGAGGCACACUAAUGGAAGUUGGGCCUUUUUUCCUUCUCUUUUUGCAUGUGCUUAUAGCCCACUUAGAAGUUGAUACUUACUCCACCAAUUCCUAUAUAAAGGGAUCAGAAGAUGCAUUGUAAGCAUAGGCCUCGUGUUUUGAGUUCCUAUGGAGAAUCAUAGAGUACAAUUCCUUGCUUUGUUUGCUUUAUUGGGUUUAGGGUUAGCUUCGGCCGCCAGAACUCUUAUUGCUUAUGAUGGCGAUGUCCAUGCCCCUGUGUUAGGGCAUACUUCUGUUGGAUAUGGUGGUGGAGAAGGAGCUGGUAGUGGAUAUGGAGUUAGCGUUGGAUAUGGCGGUGGUGGAGGAGGAGGACGUGGUGGUGGGGGUGGUUCUACAAAUGGUGGUGUUGGAUAUGGAAAUGGUGGAGGUGAAGGAAGUGGCGCUGGAUAUGGAGGUGGAGAAGAACGUGGUUAUGGCAAUGGUGGUGGUGGGGGAGGGGGAGGAAGUGGUGGUGGUGGUGGUGGUGGAAGUGGUGUCAGAUAUGGCCCGGUCGGUGGUUAUGGAAGUGGAGAAGGAGGUGGUUCUGGUGGUGGUUAUGGAGGCGGGGGAUCGGGUUAUGGAGGUGGUGGAGGUGGUGGCGGUGGUGGAAAUGGAGGUGGUAGUGGUGGUUAUGGUGCAGGAGAAGCGAGCGGAGGAGGAUAUGGAAGUGGUGGAGGACAAGGAGGAGGCUCAGGGAGCGGAGGGGGAGGGCAUGGAGGCGGCGGAGGAGGCGGUUGGGGAGGUGGGUAUGGUAGUGGAGGAAAUGGUGGUGGAUAUGGAAGUGGCGGAGGAGAAGGAGGAGGCUCAGGGAGUGGAGCAGGAGGACAUGGAGGUGGCGGAGGAGGUGGCUCCGGCGGUGGCUAUGGUGGUGGUGGAGGUGCACAAGGAGGAGGGUACGGAGGUGGGGGAGGGAGUGGAGGAGGGGGUGGUGGAUAUGCACCUUGAUUCUAUUUUAUUAUCUCAACAAAAAGGAAAAUAAUUUAAGAAGAAGAAGAAAGGUUAUAAAGAAGAGUACUAUUGAUUACAUUUUAUGUUCUUAAUAAAUGAAGUUUACUAUAGGGAUGAUAGUGAUUGAAGAAUGGGAAAUUAGGGACUCUUAUUUCAUUUGGAAACCCUUCCUUUUGAUCAUCUUUCCCUAAUCUGUAUUUGUAUUUUGUGUCAUGUGAUUUUCAAUUCUAAAUAUGCAAUUAAUUGUAAUUGUGAUUUACAACUUUUCCAUUCAUUUGUGCUCCAUCUAAAUGUAUGUAAACAUGAGAUUGAUGAUCACUAUAUUCAUUCAUCCAACAUACAAAUUCAAUCGUUAUUUUUACCGAGUUUUAAAUUUCACAUUUGCAUAUUGUUGAACUAAAAAAAUAUUGCACCAACUUAUAUCUAUGAAGUUUAAAAUGAGUUUCGAUAUCUCUAUACCUAGUUAACAAUAUUUGUAGAUCAAUCAUAUUUUUCAAUCAAUUAAAACCGUUUAUUUUUGGUAAUUUAUUAUGUAUAUAUUUGAUAUAAAGAUUUAAAAUACGAUAGAAUCGCUUAAGUCAAUCAAAACAUAGCUUAAUAGAAUACCCUCACAAUCUUAACUCUUUCUCUUACGCACCACUAAACUCAAAAUAAUAAUAAUAAUAUGAUUUAAUUAAUUCAUAAACAUCAUAUAAUAUCAUAAAAGUAUUAUUAUUUUAGUUUAAUAGUGAGUUUGGCGUAGUUGAAUUUCAGAAUAUUUUUUUUUGGCUAAACUAUUUAAUUAUAACUAUUUUUACAAAAAAAAAAAAAAAAUUGUUUUAACAUAAGAUACAUAUUAAAUUCACUGAACGUUUAAGAAUUCUUAAUCAUUCAUGUCUUUAAAUUUUGAUUCUAUUUCAAUCCAAUCACCAUUAUUAACCCGAUAAAAUUUACAACAAAGUAGAUCACUAACAAGCAUGAUAUGAGAUAAGAUUCCAUUAAUAACAUUAAACGUAUAUAGGAAUCAAAUAAUAUUUUGAAAAGACCUAUGAACCAAAUAAAAGUGCAGUACAAAUUAAAACAAAAACAAAAGGUUCGAUACUCAAACUUUUAUUAGUUUAAAAACAAUUAGAAAAAAGGAUUAAAUUUUAACUAAUUUAUGAAUAAAAAGAUUGUCUUGAAUCUAAAGUGGAACCACUUGGGAAUUCAGGCUCUCUAUUGAUCAUAUCAACACUUCCAUCUUCUCUAAGCAUCACCAUAUUUGAUUUUAUUUUCUUGGCAUAAAACGCUCUAUUACCUCUUUGAUGCCUGCCCAUUUGUGUUCUUGUUUUUGUCAGUUCAUACAAAUAUAUAAUAAUUCCUUUUUUUCUCAAUAUCAAAUAAAUCACUAGACUUUACUGCUGCCUUCAAAAAUUGUGAAAUAUACUAAGAAUAUGACUUUCUUUAAAAAAAAAAUGUUUUUUACAGACAAAUGAAACAAACAUAAAUUUCAAGAACUAAUAAAACCAAUUUUGUUAUCUUUACUCAAAAGCUAAGGAUGGCAAUGAAAAAAUAUAUAUAAUAAUAAAUUAGAUUUAUUCAACUUUGAUAUCAUCACUCACUCAUCUUUGUUUUUUUCUUUUUUUCUUUUUUUCUUUUUUUACUUUCUCACUUUUUAACAAUAGUUCAAAACUUUAGCUAACGUUUAAGAAAAUAGAUAGAUGGCUCGAGAAUCAACUAGUUUAGAGCAAAUUCAUAGCGACAAGAUUAGAAAUUGCUUAAGAAUCGAAUCUUUGGACAAGACUAUAUAACUGUUUUAGUUGAAGAAAAUAGAGAAACGAAUGGUUGAGACAUGAGAGACAAAAUGUUUUGAAGUGUUUUUGAAAAAGUAUUUUAUAAUAAUAAGAAGAAGAAGAACAAUAAUGAUAAUAUAAUAAAAUAAAUUAACUUACUUAUCAAAUACAACCCAUGUUGCAUGAAGGCUUGAGAUUUGCUCAACAAUAAGCAAUCUAAGUGGAUGACCCAUUACUACUUUCUUUUGUGGCACAACCUGAGAAACAAAAAGAAAAAAGAAAAAGGUAAUAAUAAUACACUGAUUCAUUAAUAAAAUAUGCUUUGAAAAUAUUAACCAAAAAUGUAUAUACCCCAUAUUUCCUACAGAGUGAUACCACAGCUUCAAGUUUUGCAUAUUUGGCUUCACUAAUAUACUCUCUUUCCACUCCCUCAAAGGACAUCUCCUCCAAAUUUAUUGGCCAAAUAUCCAACCAAGUUUUUGAUGAAACUACAAAAAUUCAUUUAUGUAAUGAUAUUAAGAAAACGCUAGAACAAUCAUACAGUUCGAUGUUAAGAAAAACAGGUAAAAAAACUCACGAGGAAUAUUGAGCCACGGCAUUGCACCAACAAGAGUAACGAUGCAACCAGGCUUAAUGACGUUGUCCAAUGCCCACUUAAGUGGGUCCGUUGUGAACUCUUCCAUUCCAUCCAUGACGACCACUACAUGUCUACUUGCAGCCUCUGAUGUUGAGCUCAAAGUCGGUGUUGGUGUUGGUGUUGGAGUUGGAGUUUGAGUUGGGGUUGGGGUUGGCGUAUCAUCCUCCAUGUCUUCGUUUCCAGCCCCUGCCAUGGCACAAAAAAUGAAAAUAAGGAAAAACAGUGUUGAUGGAAGACUACUUAAUAAUGUUUUCUAUAUAAUUCUUGUUUAGCUGUCUUGAGCAUAUUAAAUAACAAGGUUCGAUACUUACAAGAAUAUGCAUUGUAAUCUGCUCAACAAACCAACAAACAUCUCUAACAAUCAAUAUCUUCCAUCGAUUCUGUCAAAAUCAAACUCUUCCUACACUCAAAGCUCCAAAGUGAUGUGAUCCUUAUGCUAUUGAUCAUAGUUAUCAUCUCUAAAUAUCAGUCAAGUUACUAAAGAAAUUGCUUUAAAACAAAUUGAAACAGAUCGUCAUCAGAUAUGAAUUUGAUUAUAUAACAUGUCAAGCAUCAGAGUUGAAAAUGUUCUCUAUACAGAUUGAAAAAGCGUUGAUCGACUGAGGUCGAAUACAAAACCUGGACUCUUAUGAUAGCUAGAAAUAAAUUUAAAGGUCUUCCAUCACCACAUAUUUACCUCUAAAAAAAUAGCCUAAACAACUUUAGAGAGGGAGGGUAAAAAGCAAGGGAAACUAAAAAGCAAAAAUCUAUCAACUUGGCUUGCUACGGUUUCGGCUGCCAUGAAACGCAUCACAGAACUAUACUUGUUUUGCGACGAGUGUUAGGCGGGCUUGACCUUUUACAUGGUAAUGACCUUAGUCUCUUCUUCUUGUUCAAAGAGGAGCCUUCACUCUGAGAUCCCAAUAUAGCAGCAAUCAUUUUCGACCCUCUCGAACCUGGCAUGUUCUUCUUAACGUACCUCAUGGCUGCUUUUCUUUCAGAAUCUUCCACACCCUUAUUCAAUGGGCUUCCAGAUGUUGAGCACUUUUCUGUCUUCAGAUGAUCAACUGGGAUUCGGUAUUGUGGUUCUAAACAAAGUACAAAAAAUUCCAAAUAUUAAAUAUAGUCCAACCAGCCAAAUAUUAAACAGAAAACAUAUAGAGAUUAAAACAAGAUUUUACCUGGAGUACGGAAGACAUUAUCGGGGCUGGGAGAUCUCACUGGCGAUAGAGGAUGAAAACCAUCAAUACUUUCAUCUUCAUCAUUCAAACAGAGAUCCUUAGUUACAAUGGGAGAAGACUUCAUUGUUGCACUCUCAACUAUAUUCAAGUUAGCAGAAGUAGCAUUUUCCAAAUCACUGACACCAGUAUCUUGAUUCUCCAUUUCACAGGAAAACCGAGCAGGACUUGGUUGCAAAGUAUCCGCAGGUGCAUUUGCAGAUUCGUGAUUGACUUUAGACUCAGCAGCAAAUGAAGAGCAACCAGUACCGAUAUUUUGCAAAACCGACUUGGGAGAUGGAUUUGAGGAAUCUGAAUUCAAGCAAGGAUCCGAUCGUUGAAUUAAACUUGAGAACCAUGAAGUCCCCUUCCUCUUAUAUAACAAAAUGUAGGCCUCACGUGACAGCACAUACUCUUCAGUGACUGAAGUAACCUGAAUAACAUCAAAACCAGAAAGUUUUUUUGCUUCAGUAAAAGCUUACCGCACUUCACUAAAUCAAUGGAGAAUCAGCAGCUCCAUCAAUAGAAAAAGCACAUAACAGAAUUCCAGUUAAGUUAUAUCAGCACCCUCUUGAGGAUUAAUUAUCCUCAAGACCAAAACGAGUGCAACAACACAUCAGAUCAAUAUAGUAACUCAAAAAUAAGUAAUUGCUACUAUAAUUUCAGAAAUGGUGAUAUGAGAUACCAAAAGGUUCUACUGAUAUACAACCAAAAGCAAGGGGCCAAAUGCAGGGAAAGAAGAAAACGUGAAACAAAUUACAACUGGGAAGGAGAAUAUGAUCACUAAUUUAGUCGUCGCCAUAUAUCUAGCACGCUGCUAAAUCCCAGCAGUAAGUUGAAAAACUAAACAAAAUUGAAAAAUACUUCAUAAAUGUUAUACCAAUGAGUCGUCCAUUCUGUGCCAUGUAUCAGGAGAGGAACGAACAAAGCUGAAGUAGUGCCCAGAAGUAGAGGAAAACCCUGUGUGUUCCACAAUGGCAUACAAUUCAUAUUUGAGUUCCACCUGUUAUCGUCAAAGGGAAAAGAGAGAGAACCUCAGUAAUGAACCUAAACCAAUUGUAGGGCAAAGCCAAAAACAAAAAAUAUUACAGAGCUCAAAUAUUCUACAUUUUCAAGAUACUGAUGACAAUUCUUGUACAAACUUUACACCAUGAGGUAAGAAAAGUUAGAUAUUACCUCUGCAUCCUUGCCUCCCAGGGUGUACGGCUUCAAAUCUAACUCUAAUGGAAACUCCAAGUGCUUUUCGAUUUUCUCAACAAAAGAACUAUCAGCCUUGAAUCUCUUUAAGUGGAAUGUAGUAACCAAAGGGAUUUUUUCCAGCUUAAGCUGCUUCUCCACCCACACCUCCUCUUUGCAGUUUUCACACUUAAAUUUUGUUUCUGGAUCGCCAAUUCUCUCCACCUUGGUGAAAGAUUCCAGAGCACUGGAAAGGGAGUCCACAUUCUCAAUCUCCAAACUCAAGUCAACCAAAGGCUCAUGGGUUUCGGAACAAUGGCCACAAUUACAGCAGCAAAGCUGAAUAUGACACAAAUUGUAAAAAACAAGACACUGAAGCUCAAUACUUAAAAACAAAACAGUAAAGAUCAUUUUCUUACAUUGCUUAUGAGACGACCACCAAACACCUUAUUCACUAGAUCAUCAUCCUCUGAAGAAACUCGAUCCUUUCCUUCUGAAACCAUGCAUCUUUCAAGUUUAUCCAAGAAGCACUGCAUGAACUCAUGGGCAUCUUCCUGCUGGUAUCUCCAGAAAAAGGAUGAGAAGUCUAAUGCUAACUUAAGAAUAACAACAGUACAGCAAAGUUCUCAAAAGAUCAAAUAAUAAAACAAAGUACAAAAACAACUGCAACCUCCGUAACACGCAAGACCAUUUGUAUCCAAGUACCAUUAAAGAAAACCAACUAAAAGCAUGUUUGGAUUGACUUUCUAAGUGUUUAAAUAAAAGUAUAAAAUAAAUGUUUACAAUCACUUAGAAAGUCAGUCCAAACAAAACCUAACACACUGUGGUUAUCUUAAUCUCAGAUUUGCUCAGAUCGAGAUGCAGCUUCUUUGAAGCAAAUACAAAAUUCCUAACAAGUUAUCAUCACAUCAUACAAGGUACAAAAGGCACUAAUUAAAAGAAUUUUUAAGAAAAAAAAAUAUGGUGGAAAAUGAAAUAUAGAAAAGGAUACAGUUCAAGUUAUCAACAAGUUUCACUGGUGAGAUAAUCCCACCCAGAGAAGUUAAGGAGAGCUCGAUAUGAUCUCGAAUUGCACAAAAGACACAAAAACCUUCACCUGUGGAUGCAAAUUCGUAAUUCUUCAUCAACUACUGAGUCAUUAGAACCUAGAAACAGAGAGAACGUAUUGGUAGUGACAGUGAUCUUACUGUUACAAGGCAUAUCAUGAUUAGCAGAUCGAAGACCCUCCACAAAUGGAGCAGUAUGAGUGAGGCACUGCAAGAUUGCGUUAAUAAAACAAGUAUUCCCCAAAUUUGCAAGUCCCGCACCCUACGAAUUCAGAACAUAACCAAAACCAAACCCCAAAAAGAUAAAUAAAUGGAAAAUAAUAUAUCAAUUGCAACCAAGUAUAAAGAACUAAUUGAAAAUUAAGCUCACCGCAGAUAGAGAUUCGGUUUCUUGAGCAGACACGGAAUUUUCUGGGAAAGCUUCCUCUGAAGUAGACCACUCCAAAGACGAUCCCGGCAGAGGAGGCAAUGCGUCGAGUCCAUCAGAAUCAGACGAAUAAGUUGAGAAUGGCGAAGACCCAGUAGGGUUUAUCGAAGAAGAACCCCAAGACUGAUUAGCAGAGGCAUCCAUAGGCGAAAAAGAAAAAUUGCCGUUACGGCAAGAGGAAGAAUGAAGUAGAGAUUGUUGAGUUAGGGCAUCUUCGGUAGUAGUCGAGUGCCAAGACCCGGCUUCAAUUCCCAACGGAGGAACCAAAAAUGGAUCAAGUUCUUGAGAAUCAACCAAAUGGGUAGCCAUUAGAGAGAAUAAAACAAGAUAAUUAGAGUGAAAAGAAGAGAAAAACAGAGGUGGGUAUUGGAGAAGCAGAUAGAAAAGAAAGGGGGAAGAAGGUUUUUGGAUGAAAUUGAAGAGGGGGAAUUGGAAAAGAGAGAGGGAAAACGAAAAAGAAUCGGAAAAGGGUUUUAAUAUAUGGAUUUGAAAAGGGAGGGAAAACUCAAAAACUCCCAAAAAUUGGUCCUUUCCGCUUCAGAACAAAAAAGGGGAAAACGAAAAAAAAAUGAGAGGGAAAGAGAAGAAAGAGACGCGGAAGACGAUAAUGGUGACUGUUUCAUUUUCGUUUUUUAAUUCCUUUUUAAACACUUUCUUAAUUUCACUCCAAAACUCAUUCUAUUUAGGGUUUAAAUUCACUCACUCCCAACAGCUUUCGAUUUUUAUUUUUAUUUUAAAUAUUCAAAAUUAGGGUUUCUAUUUUACUUAUAUUUAUUACAUUUCAACUCAUAUAAUUCUAUUUUUUAAACUAAAUUAAUUUAAGCAUUGACUUAAAUUUAACUUCAAACGUUGCAGGCAUUAAAUUGAAAAAUGUGAUGAUUUAGUGGUUUAGUAGAAAAUUUUGUUGUUUCUCCUAACAUUUUGCCUAUAAUGAAGAAUCAAACCUCUAAUUUCAAGACUUGAUAUUAUUCAGACUUCAUGAAUCAACAAAUUAACUUUGUUUAAAACCAUUUUCUAAACUCCAUAGACUAAAUAAAUGUGUUUAUAUAAAAUUAACCAACCAUAGAAUGCAUAGGCUAAAUUCAAAAAUUCAAUGAAAAAGAAGUAACAUAAGAGAAUUAUGUAUUAGUUCUUUAAAUAUAGCACUCAAAUUAUUACUGAAACACAUACAAUAACCUCACAACUAUAACCAAAACUCAAUACAAAUUCAGGUCCUAAGCUCUUGUGAGAUAGGAAUGCCAAAUUUUGGUGGAGAAAAUACGGUAUGUAUUGUUUUGUUUGCUACAAAAAAAAAAAAAAAAAAGUAGAACUAAAGCACAUGUUCACUGCAGCAGCUAGAAAAACAAAAGAACCACCAGCGAAUGUUCAAGUCCUGUGUAAAAGGGUUGCUUUUUGAAAGAAUCUUUAUACUGAAAUUUCUUUACAUUCCUCAGUAAUAAAAUCCGCUGGUAAUAAAAAAAAACGUAUCGAGUUCGAGCCAAAUUCUACAAUGAAAAGGAACACUUGAAAAUAAUCAAAUGAUUCUGUCUUGAAGAUCUGUAAUUAAUGUAGAUGCCAAGGAGCUUAGCUUCUUCCCUGUUUCUCCUGCAAUGUUCUUGAGAGAAGAAAGAUCCUGCUGUGCCUGGACAAAAGUAAAUGAAUGUAUCACAUAUAUGUAAUACAAUGCUAAGGAAAUCAUGAACCCAAGCACAAUUGCACAGUUUAACAAGGAUUAGUAUAGAACCUGAAUAGAAAGCCGGUUAAUAAACUCAGUUGCAGUAAGAUCGGCAGAAGGAUUAUCUCGCUGGUUACCAAAUAGAUCGGCACUAGAGAUGGAAGCUGAGCCCUGCGAAUAGAAGGAUGGCAAGUAAGGGGAAUGAAAGCACUAUGAUUUAAUUUAAACAGUCAGACAUAUCAGCAAUAUAAAGAACGGUUUCCAUCCAAUCUGUGGAAAGUAUUAACUAAUAUAGCGCUUAUCAUUCAGUACCAAAAGUUGAAAAUGCAGUCCCAAAGCCUCAUCAUAAAAACAGAAACGGACCGAACACAGUGUUUUUCCCUUUUUUCUUUAAUACAUUUUAUGGUUUAUGGUUCUUUUUUGAUUGAGCUUUUACUUACCUUCAUCUAGAGAGGGUUUUUUCUCGUAACAUGUACCAAAUGUGUCCAAAACACAUACUUAACAUGUCAGGAAAUUAUAUAUAGCGUAAACUAUAAAUCCUUGAUAAGGAAAGAAUCAGAAUAUAGAACUUCCUUUUUUUAAAUGAAAACGACAACUUUCAUUGAGAAACAAUAAAAGAAUACAAGGGCACAAAAAAAACCAGGCCACAAAACCACCCCAUUAAAGAAAGAGGGACCAACUAAAUAAAAUGUUUGUCUAUAGAAUAUUUACAAAAGUUCUUCGAAACCGAAGCCCAAAGAAACACGUGAUAUCUAAUCAAAGACCAAAUCAGAAUAUAACACAUAAAAGAGUUCCUGCUCUAUCAUGAAGGAUUGAAUAGUCAAAUGGUAAGAGGUCUGUAUAAAUAGCAUAACUAGAAAAGUAUGGACAACAAUUUCCACUUAAUUAACGAUAAAGGCAAAGGUACAAACCGAGAAUUUUUGGAGGGAGGCCUGAGCAUCAGCAUCAGCUCUGUUCUGAUCACCAAAGUAUUGGGCUGAUGAUAUAGAUUUGGCAUUGGAAAAUUUCUUCCUUGCUUCGUCACUUUCUUCAAUCUAACAUCAAUCAUGUUGUUAGAACAGAGAUCAAAAGAGGUAGAGACAUUGAUAUGAUGGACCCAUGUGCGCAACCAGCAAAAAUACUCUUUAUGCUUGCCAUUACUUAAGAAAUAAGAUUUUUAUUUAUAGGAAUUUUGAUGGGUUCUUUUCAGAUAUGUGCAGGUUUGUGACCCUCGUGUAUACAAAAGAGAAUAAAAUGUAGAAAAUGAUAGAAAAAAUACAGAAACUACAAGUAGCACCAGAGUAGAACAUAGAAGAACACCAUCCACUGCUACGUAAAAUUGCAAAGGGAUGUUCACAAAAUUUAUUCAAAGCAAGAAACUUCCCCAGAAAACCCAUUUCUACAAUACUUGUUUAGAGUAAUUCAUUUUUUGAGUACCAAAAGUAUACUCAAUCAAGAACACUUCAUACUCAGACACCAAACCGCCCAAUUACAUUUAAAUAAACCAAAAGAUGCAAAAAGCUAUUUACUGAUGUAUAAAGACAUACCAAAUAAUUAUCUAAGACUAAGGAUAAUCAUCGUUAUGGAACAAUGGUCGGGUGACAAAUAUUAAUAUAAUUAGAUUAUUCUUAGGAGAUAUUAUUCUGGAGAUAUUAUUCUGGAGAUAUUAUUUGAUAUUAUUUCCUUAAGUGUAUUUCUCUAUGGUUAUAUAUAGGCUUGUAUCUCUAUUAAGUAAUGAAUGAAAUAUAGAUUAAUUCCAUAAAAUCAACAUGGUAUCAGAGCUCUAGGGUUUUCGCCUUAUUGAAUUCUAGCCUCCACAUCCCGUUUGAUCUCUGCCUCCGUUGAUCAUUCAUCAACGGAGGCAGAAUCAUCUCCCAUUAGCUGAAGCCGCCCCUUAGAUCUGCAAAUUUGCCGUUGUCGUUGCACCUUCCCUUUGUCACUCAUUGCUGUUCAAAUCUGCCACCAUCCAAACCCCAGAAACCCCAUUCGUUUUUCACUAGCGUCUGCGGCGGCCAUCUCCUUCAUAGUUCUUCGUCCGACCUCUUGUUUUUCCGUUAGCCAAGCAACCGAUUGAACCUCUGUCAGUUGAAGCCGAACGCCCAGCCGAAGAGUUUCAGUUUUUUCCGUCGUCCAAGAAGCUCCGCUCGCCGCUGCGUUUCGUUGCCGUUGCUCCAUCUCCUUACGCUGUCCCAACAAAACCAUGAAACCCCAUGAAACCCCAUGUCCUCAUAUCCUCACGUCUGCCUCCAAUCUGUUCCAGAUCUGUCUAAUUUCGUUCAGACCCAUCCUUCAUGUCUGCCUUCAAAGUUUAGAUCGAAGCCCAGAUCCAACGACGCCUCGUUUCUGUUUUUGUUCAGAUCCGCUAAGCCUCUCUGCUCCAUUCAGUUCAGCUCCCGUUCUGUUCUCCCCAGAUUUCCCGUUUAAUCUGAUUCUGACUUGCUCUAGUUUAGUUCGUUCUGUUCCACUUUGAUCCGACAAAACACUUCUGUCCAAUUCCGACCCUGUUUUCGUCCAGCUUUGAUUCUACUUUGCUUCAGUUUUGCUCUUUCAUUUUGCCCCCCGAAGUUCUUGUUUCGUUCUUCCUAGGUUCUGUUAUAGAUCUCUAUACGAGGAUCUAUGUUUCUAUCCCGGAAGUUUUUCGUGGGUUUGUUUUAACCUAGAAGUUCUUUGUCUGUUUGUUCUUCGGGUUUUUUAUUCUAUUCUAGAUAUAUUGUUUCUUUUCUUAGUUCUUAGCAAACUCAAGUUUGUGAUUUCAACCUUGAAUUUGAGGGAGGGUAUUAAUAUAAUUAGAUUAUUCUUAGGAGAUAUUAUUCUGGAGAUAUUAUUUGAUAUUAUUUCCUUAAGUGUAUUUCUCUAUGGUUAUAUAUAGGCUUGUAUCUCUAUUAAGUAAUGAAUGAAAUAUAGAUUAAUUCCAUAAAAUCAACGUUCGGGUGACAAAAGCAAUGAGCUUCGGAUUUACAGCCUACAUUAGACAAUUCCUCACAUUUCUUUUCAAGGCUGAUUCAGAGAAGCAUGCCAAAAUCAUUGAAAAAUCAGAAGUACAAUGUCUAACCUGCACUUUUGAGGAACUGGAACUGCCCUUCUUUGGAAAACCACCAUCCAUUCCAAAUUCAGCAAAGAAGCCCGAUGCCUUUGGGGGAGCUACAUGGCUAAGUACAUGAGAGCCACUAGAAUUCACAUCAGAUGAUUGGACAUUUUCUACAUAUUCAAAGCGAGAUGCAAAAGAUGAACCAGUUGCAGCAGUUUUGGGUGCUGUUGAAGAUGAAACUGGAACUGUAGGUUCUUCAGGUUUCUGAUCAUAUAGAUUUUCACUUGGCUGCAUGGAGUAAUGCAAAUUAUAAAGUCAUGGAAAAUGUAUUUCAAAAUCUAUAUUUAAUUGAGGUCAAGAGAAAUUUCGAACACUAAUACAUGAGCAAUAUAAGGCCACUUCACAUUGGUAGAAUGCAUUAUUAUUAUUACCUUUGUAGUAAGCUUUCGAGCACCAAGUCCCCCAGUCUUCCCUGGUUUCUUCCCACCAAUGGGCUUCUUAACAGUACUUGAGAAUACCGUCUGAGAAGCUUUUGGUGAAGCAGAAAUUUCUGGAGCCUCUUGCUUUCCUGAGACAUGGUCCUUUGCAGUUUCAUUAGUUUUGAUAUCAGGAGGUCCAUUUGUUACUAGGUCUGACUGAGAAGUAACUGGGGAAGAUGGCAAUGCCGGCUCUUCUGCCAUACUUUUAGCAACUUCUUUCGAAAGUAAUUGCCUAUACAACUCAGCAGCUCUAGAUGUAUAUUUGGCCUCAAUUUUGCCUCCAUCCGUCCAUCCAUGCUGCUUAAAGAAAACCUGUGCUCGGUUAUUCCCUCCAAAGCUCAUUGUUUUAAGCUGCUCCACACUCCAAGAAUCUAAAUUUGUGGACCUACGUAAAUUGAAAAAACAUAAGAACAUUCAAUACUAACCAUCAUAAGGGGAAUUGUACCUUAAGAGACUUCUCAAAAUAAUUACAGGUCAUAACCUUUGAUCGAUUUGAAAUUCUAACUAGCAUGUUAAGCAAACCAACAGGACAAGCAAAGAAAUAAGAGAUAAAGUGCCCUGAGAAUUUUCCAGAAGGCAACUAACAGUUAGGUACAUAUAUGUAGUCCUUUCUCUAAGGCCACAGAUUUUACCUCAUUGGUGAGUAUAGAAGUAAAAAAUGUCAUUUAAUAAUUUACACCAAGAUUACUUUAAAUGCCCAAAAAAGAAUGCUUUGAUUCCCUCCGUUCAUGCAAUGAUGUAACUAGUCUUUUCAAAUUCCACUUGAGUACAACUACUUCUCACUGAUAUUUGCUUCAUUUAAUUUAAUCAUAAACUAUUCACUAUAGUUCUAGAAAACAUUGAACCUUUACUUUACUAUAAAAGAAAAAACCUUUUAUUAGAACCCUUUGGGUAAAACUUUCACUGUUUUUUUUAUUUUAAUGGAAAUAACUAGAUCUACAGAAACAUCACGUUAUACAUAAGGCAGAAGGACAGAGGAUCAUUCACAGCCUCAGGUUGGGGAGAGCACAAGAUACUUAUCCAAAGUCUCUAUCUUUCAUUAAGAAAAGAAAAGAAAAGAAGAAAAAGAAAUUGUAUACUGCAUAACUUUCCUGUAUAGAUAAAUAAUCAGUGCAGUGCAAGCCAAACCUCGUUCUCAUACAUACAGAUAUGUGUGCAUGUACACUAUCACAAUGACUAACAGAUCUAAAAAUGUAGUUCUUUGUGAUAUUUUAUAAUUACACUUUUUUAAUCUUCUCGACUAAGAUUGUAAAGACGACACACCAGACUUCCAUUCUUCUGACUGAAAAGAAACUACUAAAAGCUCAAGUGCAUGGUAAAAAUUGGUUAUUAACAUCAAUAACCUUUUGAUAAUGAUUCGAACUUACCUUUCUAUUUAUGAAAACUAUGUUUUCUUCCUCACAAUUUAUUUACAAUGGUUUCCGCUCUUAUAAGAAACAUUUGAGUUCUUAGUUUAAGUUCCAAAAAAGUGUUAUUGCACAAUAAAGCGCAUUAGUCUUCUGAAGCUUAAGCGCAAGGCGCAUUGUGAGACGCACUAUAUAUAAAAGUACUAUAUUAAGAAAAAGAAGCAUGGUUGAAGUGAAAAUAUGUAAAAACAGACGUUUAAACACAAGAAAAUUUUCAUUUGUGCUUAGUAAAUUUGAUUUUUUUAGUUAAUAAAGGAAAAACACUAAUUAUUUAUAUUUAAAAUAAAAACCCAUGGCACAGGCCUUUGAGCUUCAGGCGUGCCUUAAUUUGUGAGCCUCUCCUUUUCAAGACGAAGCACAAGGCCUGCACUUUCAGCCUAGGCGCACACCCAGGAGGAUUUUUUAAAACACUAGUUCCAAAAAUAAAAACUAUUACCAAAAAGAAAAAUCUACAUUUUUAAGUUUUGAAAACUUGGCUUAGAUUUUAAAGAAAAAAAAAAUGAUGGAAGUAGAUAGCAAAAGAAAGAAACUCCAUAACUGGAAGUAGUAUUUGUAAGCUUAAUUUUCAAAACUCAAAAAAACAAAAACCCGUCAUUAAACAAGGUCUACACUACUAUUGUAUUUACAAAUGCACGUUUACUUGAUUUUCAAAUAAUUUACAUCACUUUUCAUGAGUCUAGUUUGAGGAUUCUAGAAAAUAAUCUAUAAGCAUCUACAAACUACGACCCAGACAUACUGAGAUACAAGGUUAAAAGAAUUUACAUGAACCCAUCAAACAUAAGUGCAUGUUAGAGCGCAAAACAUGGCUAACAAGUAGGAGGACGGGGUUUAACAUAAAUAACUAAACAUAUAGAAGAGGCGUGAGAAUAAGACACUAUCAACACAAUGCACUUCCAAAAACUACACAUACCCAAUCAGGAAAAGAAACAUAUAAGAAAGAACUCAAUGAAGGUCAAAUUAGAGCCACAAAUCAAAACCAGCAGGCAUCAAAAUCAAAAACCCAAAUAGAAAAAUCACCUGACAAAGCUAACAUGGACACCAAGGCUGCGAUGCACAGCAGAACAAUCAAUACAGAGGAAGAUCCCAUAUGUAACAGAAGCCCAAGUCGGAUUCUUGGCAUUGCAAUCAAAGCACAUCUGAAAAAAAAAACAAAAACAACAAUAAUAACCACAACCAACGAAGUGGGUCUGUUCCAUUUCAACAGGGGAUUGAAGAUCUCGACAUGAAACACACAGAUCGGAAAGAGGAAACACAAUAUCAAGAUGAAAUUGAAUGGAAUUCGAAUAAUACCUUGUUAUCGGACUUGGCUUUGAGUUUUCUAAAGACGAGGUUCUUGUCGGAAAAGCUGUCGAACGCCAUUGGAAAGGGAAACGAAGAGAAAAAUCCCCAAGGGGGUGUGCUUGAACGAACACCACCUUUGGGAAAUUGAAGACGAAGAUCGGUCAAGAAGAAGAAGAUCGGACUGAAACUCCAGAAAUCGCUUCCUUUGGUUUUUUAAUUCGAAAGAAAAUUCUUAACCGAAUUGACCAAAACAACCUUCUAUGUUUCUUCAAAGAACUGCCAGGAUGAGUCCAAGCUUUGAGCACUACAUAAGGGUACUUUCGUCAUUUUGAAGAAUCGAUUUUUAAAAAAAAUUAGGUCACAUUGUUCAAAAUAUCUCUCCAUCAAUGGUUACAACUUCUUUGCUUCUACUCCAUCUUUAAAAGUUAAUUUGAAUAUACUUUGAAUACUAUAAAAGGGUUUCUUACCUUUUCUUUUUUCCUUUUAACUUUUUCUUUUCAUGAAUUUGCUUUAAUGAGAUUAACGAUGUUUGAGUAUAUAGUUAGAUUGAUAGUUAUAUAUAUCGAUACUGCAUAGAGUUUUAAGACUCGUUCUAUUCCUUUUACUAAUCAACUUCAAUUUAGUGAAACUAUAAUCGAGAACACGUUCAACUUUUAUUUUACUUCUUAUAUUAACUCCAAUAUUAUAUUUUUAACCUAGAUCAUAAUCGUUAUGCCAACUGGUGAGACAAACUAGAUGUUCCUCAUACCAAAUCACAGUGGAUGACACUCUCAAUGUCAACUCAACUUUUAAAGUCACAACGAUAUUAGUAAUCACGGUACUAAUUUUGUGGAACCUCAAAUAUCAUUAACGAGUUGACAAUAAGCUAGUAUUGGAUAGUUGAAGUGGUCAAUACGUACGUUGAUACCUAGAUUGUUAUAAAAUCAAAGCAACUCGUUUAAACAUAAAAUGAGAAGUGCCACACGUACUUAUUAAUACUUGGCAUGAAAAUUGCUUGAGAAUUAGAGUUGUUUAGGCAAGCACUACCAUAUGUGCAAUUUAUUUUGCAUGAAAGCAUUAAGUAGUUAUUCUCUUAUCUUUUCGCAAAAUAUCAUUCAACAUUUACUUGAAAUUUGUUAAACUUGACAGUCUCGUAUUAAUGUUAUUCGUGAACUAAGACCAAGAAGAUUAAUUAGACACGAUAAGCUAGCUAAGACAGAGUUUAUGAAGUACAUUAUUCAUUUGUUUAUGUUAGAAAAUAUCUUAGGGUUGUAUUAAUUGCACUUAAACUUCAAUUAUGAUCAAUCUUGCUUUAAACUACAGUGUCAUUCAAUUUGAAGUAAAACUACAUCAAAUGAACUUAAGUAGCAAUAAAUGAACUUAACUAUACAUCUUGAGUUUUACUUGGUAUGGAGUGAUACGAGAAUUGAGUAUGAACACAGUUUUUUGUUACUUUUGACAUUGAUCUUCAAGGUAAAUUAAUUUCUAUAUUCUUUCUUCUAGUGUAAUCGUUUUUAUUUCCAGAUUUACCAUAUGCAAUUUAGAAGUUUACAUAUCUUCAAAGGCGUGUUUUCCCCAAUGACUAAGAAGUAUGAGUUGGAAAAAGACGAGUGUCGUUAAGUUCACUCUUCUACUAGCCCAAUGUAUGUUUAAAUUUAUUGGAGGCUCUAUUACUAAACAACUCCUCGUACUAAUUAAUUUCAUUACUUAUCUCAAAUGUAUCUUAAAAGUUAUUGAAUCAAAUUACCUAAAGUUUUCUUAUCAGCCUCUUUUUUCAUUUAAAGAGUGUUUGGUCCACCAACUUUAUAAAUUGAUAUUAAAAUAACUCAACUUCACCAGAAAGUAAAGUUCAUUUCACUCGAAUCCAUAUUGUUUUAAUCAAUGUCAUGGAUCGAAUUUGAAUAUUUUAAAAAACAAAAAUGAAACAAAAAGAAUGUGUUAUUUAAAGCAUAAAUUAAUGGAACUAUAUUUAUAGUAUAAUUUUGGAAUAUGUUUAAUAUUUCUUAAUAAUAUAAUUUUUUUUGUUUUGCUAUUGUUAGGAAGGAAAAUGGUAUCUAUUCUUUUAAAAAAAAAUUAUUCUAUUUUUCAUGAAAUAUUUACUCUUUCAUACAAAAAAAAAUCAAAUAUAAAUAGUUUGAAAAUUGUUCUAUUUUUUAAAAAACGUCUUUAAAUUUCAGUCCUUUUCUCACAAUUUUUAUUAUGAAAGGAUUUUAUACAAAACUUCCUAUAUAAUUGGCAAUAUAAUUCAAAUCUUUAUAAAAAUAAUUAAAAAGAAAGAAAGAAAAAAAAACUCUCUCCCCAAUUGGGCUCGGGCCUUUUUUGCUUGGAUGCUCUUGGGCUUAUGAAUCAAUGUGGGCAUCAUCAUCAUAUUGGCCUUUGACAAGGUUGAUUUUCCACAAAUAUCAACUACUUAAUCAAAUGAAGCAAUCUAUAUGGUAUAUGCUAUAAAGUAUUAAAAUGGAGAAUAAGCCAUAUUUUCUAUUUUUCCUUUUACCUUUACAAUUUUGUACAACGGUAGUAAAUUUUUCACUUGGGUUAAUUAGUCGAAUUUUCGUGACUUGGGUCGAGUAUGUGUUGGAGAGAAGAUGAUAUAUUUUGAUUAUAUUUUUUUAGAAUAAUUUUUAUUUAGAUUUUAUUCUUGGUAGAAAGGGGAAGAAUGAUAAAUAUGGAUAGCAUUUUGAAGUAUUCCUAGGACAUUACGAUAAUAAUUUAUUCCUUAGUUUUUUCUAUAAAGAGGGUUAUAAGGGGGAUAAUUUUUAUAUACAUAUUUUAUCCUUUUAUUGUUAGUAAAUUCUCACGCCACACUUUAUUGACUGAGUUAGCCUACCCCUUUUUAAGUGUACCUGUCUAUUCCGAACAAAAAUAUCAUUUAUUAAAAUGUAAUAUUGUAUUAAACUUUUUCAUACAUUUUAUGGAGAUUAAAACAACUCCAAACCUUUUACAUUCAACUUUUUUAUUUUCACCUAAAGUCUUCAAAAAAAAAAAAAGAAACUAGUACUCUAGAAUAUAAGAUAAUUUGAACUCUAUACUCAUAGUUAUUUCCUAUAAAUAAGGUGAAAAAAAUACGUUAAUACUAAUUUUGAAUUGUAUCAAAUACAACCAAAAACGAAUGUGAAAGUACAUCCACAAUAUGAUAAUAAUAUCAAAGUGGACAUAUAUACUUCAACGAAAAUACAAAUACACAAUCGAGAAAUAAGUGAUUCAAAUUCUUUUAUACAUUACUGUAGAAAAACAAAGAUUGUCGUGUUCGUUGGCCGGUGACAAAAAUGAAAACAAAAACCAUAGUGAAAGUACUUAAAGGUCUCGUGAGAUAAAGGUCGAGGGUAAAAUGGACGGCUCCCAAUUGAGAUAACAUGAGGAAGUAGACACCCAAAGACAGCCCUCCACGUGGACUAACUGUUGCAUUGGUGGCCGAUGAUGUGGACUGUACGGUAUGUGUGACGUGGACAAGUGAAAUUCGGUCCCACCCCUCCACUACCCCUUUUUUAAUUCACACGUUUUUCUUUCCCUCUAUUUCUCCCCUCUGGGACCCACUUUUAUUUAUAUAUUUAUAUAAUUAAAAGUUAUUCUAAAAAAAACAAAAUUUAUUAAAACGUUGAUUUUUUUAGGAAGAGUAAAUAUUUUUAUCAAAUUCUUUAUAGUCUCCUUAAAAUUUUUGCUAUAUUUUGUAAUUUUAAAAUUAAUUUAUAAAAUAAUAAAAUUCAUCAAACUCUUUUAUCUUAUUUAAAAAUUUUAUUUAUUUUAUAAAUAGUUUUAAUUUCUUUUAAUUAUUUGUAAUAAUUUUCCUUUAUUUUAUUCUCACCUUUUAUUUUUUAUAAUUCAAUAGAAUGGAUAAGCUUGGUUGAACAUUACACGUAAAGUUAGCAUAAUCUACGGAUUUAUUUACCUUUUUUAAAAGAAAAUAAAUAUCAUUCAAAUGUCAAUACAUAUAAUUGAACAAAAGAUCGAUCAGCUGAUUUUAGAUUUUUUCAUGUUGUUGAGCUACAAAAUUUCAUGAAACAAUCAAUUUAUUUUAUUAUGUUUAUUAACUACUAAUUUAUGUUUUGUUUAUAUAUGUUUUUUAUAUCCACUUUUUGCCAUUGUUAUUCUUAAGAUCUAUAUAAAGUUUGAUAACAUGAAAGAAAAAUGCAUUUUGAUUUUUUAGAAAUAUAAAUAUUAUUGAUCAAAAGUGAAAACCUUGAUUUAAGUGUUAAGAAGGGGAUUUUUUUCAAAAUUGACGGUAAUUACGAGUUAAUUUUCAAUUCACUUAUAAAAAGAUUUCAUAAUUGUCACAUCCCUAAAAGUUAGUCUAAAAGGCUAUGAAACUUGAAGACUCGAUUGAGAGAUAGGGAUUAAAUAAAAUUGUAUGUUGACUACCGACCAUAAAUCUUGAGGAUAAUUGUGCAAAGGGGAAUGUAUUAUCUCUUUAUAUCAUUUUGUAUAGAUGAUCUAAGUUGAAUUUUGACGUAGGGUUUAUGUCAGAGUGCAUAUUUUACCUUCUUAAACAAUCACAUUAAACUUUUUGAAAGUUAAUUACGUUUUAGGUUACACAUGGUGAUGUUAACGACUCAAAAUGAUCAAUAUAAUUAAUAUAAAAAUAGAUUUUUUUUUUUUUUUUUGGUUAUGCAUAGAAAUGAAAAUAUACAUUUAGAAAUUUACUUGAGAAAACUAAAAAAACAAUUGCGAGAGAAAGAAAAAGUAGAGUUGAAGCGUUUAAUUUUCUAAAAUCAAAAUGUUAUCAAACAUGGGUUCAAUAUUUUCAAAUUGCAAAUAUAAUCCUAGUCAUUCAAAUAAUUUCAAAGGUUAAGGUUUAGAAUAUAUUUUCUAAAAACAAAAUGAUUAUUAAAUGUGACCUAAAAAACAUAAUGAUUAUAAAACACAAUCGAGACUUUGAGAGUUCAAUUGAGGGACGGUGGGUUAAUCAUGAGAGGGGAAGGAUUAGGUCAUACUCUCAUUUCGUUUUAGGUCACGACAUGUCAGAAUAGUACUAUUGAAUAUUGGUUCGCAACAAAGACUUUUGGAUCGUGAAAAUAUAUUCCACCAUUGGUUAAAUUUUAUUUGUUGAUUAAAACAAAAUAAGAAAUUUUAGGGAGAAAAAUGUGAUUCAUGCAAAUCUAAAAUCUGACCUAAUUUUUAUUCUUUUCUUCAUUCAUUUCUUGACAUUAUGAGAAAAACCUACCAAAACAAAAAAGAAAAUGUUUGUUGAUUUUCCCCCUUAUUUUAGACUACAUUUUGUGAAAUAAAAAUAUUCAAUUUUUUUUUUUCUUUUUAACAAUUAGUUGCCAAUAAUUCAAAUCACAUUUUCCACUUCCAAUGUUGUACAUAUUUUCCCCCUAAUUUCUACACCCAUAACUUUAUUGUAAGGAAAAGUACUUUUGACUAUAUAUUUAUUUAAAUGUAUAGCAAAAUGGUUGGAUGAUUUGAAUGUGUGCUUUUGAUACAAUUAAUAAGAAACACAAUCACAAAUUAACUUUAUCUAUUUUUACUUAAUUAAUUUCCUUUCUAAGUUUUUAAUUUCCUUUUUAAGUUUUUUAAAAGUUUAAAAUAUAAUUUAUUAAAGAACAAGUUUGGAGGGAGUUAAGUUUAAAGAUCAAAGUCUAAUAUAUAUUCGUAAUAGAAAAUCAAAAAGUUUAAAGACUUAUUAGACACAAAAAUGAUCAAAGGUCACAGAACGACAACUAUUCGACAGUUUUUAAAGUUCACAUAGAUAUUAAACAUUAUCGACUUGUCGACAUCUCGAUUCUUUAUUCCAAAUAUCGUAAAAAAGAAGAUAUUAAACAUUACCGACUUGUCGACAUCUCGAUUCUUUAUUCCAAAUAUCGUAAAAAAGAAAAUUACGAGAGAAAAAGUGGAUAGAAGAGUACUUACAACCACAAUUUUAUUAUUAUUUAGAAGCAUUUAUGUUUGAAUGAGUGGGGGCAGAGUCAAAUUUUGUAAUCAAUUGGUUCACACUUUUGAGUAUUGAAUAUGUAAAAAAAAUGAGAAAAAAAUAAACAAAUAAUCUACUCUACUUUUUAGCUACCGACAUUUCAAUUAAAAUUAUUUAUGCCACUAUUUUUUUAGCAUAUGAUCAUGCUUUAUUAUAUACAUCAAAAUUAAUUCUUUAAUUUUAGUAUAUAUAUAUACACAUCAAAUAAAUACACCAUAAUUAUUAUUAUUAUUGAUAUGUAUUAUUGACUAUGUUUAACUAUUUCAAACUUUGAUUUAAAUUCAAUGUACAAUUGAAUAAUAAUAUAUACAAUGAAUGCUUAAUUUUCCUUUUUUUUUUUAAUAAUAUAUCUUCAAACAAAUAAAAUUAAUUUCAAUCAAAAUUGAUAUUAAGUUUAAUAACGUUAUGUCACAACAUUACAUGUGAAUAAGUAAAUCAUACAGAUAUAUCUACAUCAUUAUAACAUCUUCCAACCCAAUGUAGCAUAAUAUAAAAUUUAAUAAAUGAUUAAGCUCAAAGUAUUUAAACAAUUUAUAAUAGAUUUUCAAAAAAUUUAUUUCGUAUAAAUAGAUUAUAGAUUUUAGAAAUGUUUAAUAAAUAUUUUAGAUUUCUAUUUAUGAUUAAUAACUUAUAAUGUAUUUUUAUUAUUUUUAAAAUUGGUGAUCUAACUGAUACAAACAAUGAAUUAAAUAUUUUUCUAAAAUAUAUUUGUAGAUACAGUAAGGAAAUUUACUAAUGUUGAUAUCAUUAAAACUAUUUUUUAAUAUUACAAUUAUAGAGGUGAGGAAUUAGAUAAACUAUAUAUGAAAUAAUGAUCAGUGACGAUAUAUACAUUAAGAUUUUGGCCAUUAAAGUAAUUUCUAGAAGUGUUUGAUAGAAUUUUUCAACUUUUGUGUAUAGUAUAUAUUUUCUAAAACUUUUCCAACAUGAAAUUCUUUGUUCUUUUUAACCCAUAUAUAGAGAAUUUAGCUUUUGAGUGAUUUGACUUGAUGUGUGUAUAGUAGCUACGACUAAAACAUUAUCUCUAAAUUUAUUUCUUCAUCUUUUAUAGUUUACACUUUGUACGUGUCAUGUGCAACUUCCAUUGUUACCACUUAUAUUCAACAUAUUGUAAUAAUUAUUAUUAUUUUUCAUUUGUAUGGCUUUGUAGCAAACAUAAAAACUAUAAGUUAAAAUGAGAGAAAUAACUUAAGAUACUUAUAACUAAUCUAUUGGAAUUCAAAUACACAUUAAAGUUUUAUUUCAAAACAAGGAAGUGAACAUAAUUUUUCAAUUUCUAGUAGUAUCUUCCAUUCAAUUUUUUGAAAAUAAUUAUAUGACAUAUAAAAUAAUUAAAAGAAAACAGUUUUAUACCUAACAUGAUUUUUAAAAACGAGAAUAGUUAGGAAUAACAUAAAGAAAAUAAAAAUCUUUUACAAAGAUGAAUUUUACUAUAUAUUUUAAAAUAAUUUAAAUAAUUUGAAAUAAUUAUUGUAAUUUAAAAUAAAAUAUAAUUAUUUAAAAUAAAAGCAUAAAUUUAUUUUUUAAAAACACCAAUAAACAAUCAAAAAAGGUAGAUAGAGAAAUAUAGAAAUCUCCAAAACAUUUGAAAAAAUUGGUGAUUUAAAAAAAAAGUAAUAUUCUAAAAAAGAAAAAACAAAUAUCAAAUAGUCUAAACUCACGAACAUCACUUCUUAAAAAAAACAAAAAAAAAAAAAAAAAAGGAAAAGAGGAAAAGAGGAAAAGAAAAGAAAUAGUAAAAUUGAAAAAUAGAAAAUGGAAUUGAAUGGCGUUGGUUAUUUUCACGUGGGAAAAUGGAAAAUACGCAUGAUGCGACAUAAAGCUAAAACCCAAAAUAUAUUAAAAAGAAAUAAAAACUAAUAAUACAAAAUAUAAUUCUUUUCUAUAAGAAAAAAAUAAACAAAAACAAAACGUCGUUCUCAUGCCACGUUUCCUCAAAAAAACGUGCUCAAUAUAGCUUUAAAUAAUUAACCCCUAAACAAAUUUAAUUAAAGAAAACUAAUCUCCAAAUCUCAGCCAUUGCUUCCUCCAUCUAACCCUCUGACCCCACUCUACCUCUUAAAUCCAACGCUUACCCUUCACCUCCUCCACACACCAAACUUAGAUUUUUUUCUUCUUUUUUUUUUAAAUUUUGUAGAAGCCGUGUGGUUAUUAUUUAUUUUUAUAAAAAUGAAAAAUAUGAAGAUAACGAGGAAAUGGGGUCCACGUGGAAGACGAUUUUUUGGACGCCGAGUUUUUGGAUUUGGUCUUCCUUCGCAUCUCCUUCCUCGAACCUCUCUUCACUCGAUAUUAUUCACUUCGCUUCAACCGUCCUCUUACGUGGAUUUAUCCCCCUUUUUUUUACUUUUACUAUUUUUUUCUCUACAACUUCGAGUUUUAAUAAUUAAAACUUUGAAAUUUGGUAGGCAGUAAUUUUCGAUGUUACUUCCAAAGUUAAAAACUAAUUCCCUCCGUAAGUAUUUCUUUAUUAUAAAUUAAUACAUUUUAAUUAUAUUAACUAAGUUUGGCUUAUUACCUUUCUUAUUCUCUUAUUCUCGUACCUACAUAAUUCAUUUUUAAUAUACUAUAAAAGAAAUUUAGGUCAAUGAUAAAAAAUAACAAAUUUAACAAAAUAUUUACAUCAAAAUUUCCAGUUUCUUUCCAUAAUACUUUAUAAAUUUAUAAAUUUUAUCAGUGAUAUCAUGAAUAGAAUUCAAAAUUCUGCCAUAUGCUAUAAAUAUUUUAAUUUAUUUUGCUAUUUUUAAAAAUAUCUAUAUUUUUAUGAUUUGAAUUCAAAUUUUAUUUUAAUUAUUUAAUAAAAGUUCAGAGUUUUCUUUAAUAAAAAGUUAAAUCAAUUAAAAUAAAAAAUGAAAUGUUUUCAAAUAUAUAAAAAUUGAAACUAUUUAGCAAAAUCUAUUAAAUUCUUUUUGCAAAAUGUUGGUUUUUUUUUUAAAAAAAUAAUUUCCAUUUUUUUUUCUAUCUAUCGGUAAGAAUUAUCGAUUAAAGUAUAAAAUCUUAUUUUAAUAAUAGAAAAAUUAAAGGAUAGUUUAUUAUUGUUUUUUUUUUCUUUUUUGAAUAAGUGAGACUAUUACUUUAUUUUGAGUAAAGUGGGAAAAUAAAUAUUUGAGCAGAAAAUUUGGUAACUUUCAAAAAAGCAUUUGUCCCCUUUUCUCUUUCUCAUAUUUUGGUGAUAUUUUGUUGUUUCUCUCUCUCUCUCUCACUCAUUCCUUAAUUAUUUUAUUGCAUAUUUUCAACGUAUUUUUAUAAAAUUGUAAUUUGAUGAUUUGAUUUUUUAAAUGAAAAAAAAAUUGUGCAAUUUUAAGAAUUGAUAUAGUUUAGAUUAAAGCAGUAAUGAAAAAAAGAUACUGAGAUGAAAACUCAAAUAAACCUGUUUGGUAUCAAUAAAGGUUGAGAUUGAGCUAGGAAUAUGACAUGCAUACAACCCACUUGCUUGAGGGGAGACAAAACUUUGGACCAAAUGUUCAAAUAUGACCUAAUUAAUUUGUACCUUGGUCGAGUCAUAGCCACCUUUAAUUAACUAAGACAUGUUAAACGCAUAGGAUAAUCCAUUAAGAAUGAGAAUAAACCUAAUCCGACUCUUUGAAGGCUUUAAUUAGUUACAAAUUCAAAGUGUGCCGUGAAGUUUAAAUCAUUUUUUUUUUGUACCUGCUUUGUUUCUUUCUUUUCUAUUUUUACAACAUCUGCUUUGGCUGCUUUAACAUUAACAAUAUACAAUAUACAAUUUUGUAUAAAAAAUUCCUACAGCGUUAUUAUUAUUUUUCUUAAAAUAAAUAUCAUUAUUGUAAAUUUUUAAAUUUGAGGCGUCAUAAAGUUAGUUUAUAUGUGAGAGGUAUCUUGUUGAAUUUUUUAAGUUUUUAAAAUUUUUUAUUCAAUAAAGUUCUAAAAUUUGCUCUAUUUUUUUUCUGUUUGGCAUCCAACUGUAGACAUACUUUUUCAAAAUUUUAACACUCGGUUUGGUAUUUGAAUUUAAUUAAAUAAAGCUAUACUCAACAAAAAAAUAUAUUGUUUUUUAAAGUAGUUAAUUAAGUUGGUUAAUACCAUAAAGUAAGCACAAAGCAAUAUGUGACAAAUAAGUGAUAAAUAAGUAAUUUGUCUUACGGGUAUUUGUGACAAAUAAGUUUAUAAGGAUAACUCAACCAUCUUAGACAACCUAUCAACAUCAACUUGCCUAAGGUGAAUGUUAAUAUUGAUUGUUAGGGGUGAGUGUCACUUGCCAUUGAAGUUGAUUAUCAAAGGUGAUUUUCAUUGCAGUUUAUCAUAUAAGCAGUAGUUGGAGUCUGAAAUUGAAGGUGGUUAUCGAAGUUGAUAAUCAAAAAGUGAUUUUCUCAAAGUUUGUAGUCAUAGCUUGGAAUUCAUCGUGUAAACGUGGUCAUCAAAGUUGGCUUUUUUUGGAGUUUCCUAUUGGAGAUAGUUACCAUAGCCCAAAAUUAGUUGUUGGAGGUGGUCACAUAAAGGUAUCUAGUCGUUAGGUCAGUUUGUCAUCGAAGGUGGUUGCCAGACCUUGAAAUCGAUCAUCAAAGUUGGUUAUCUGAGUGUGGUAAUGGUAAUUGAUCGUUGAAUCUAUUAGAAAAACUGGAGAGAGCUUCAUCAACCUAUAAAGUUAGUGGACCAAAGAGAACUCAAACUCAACUUAUAUUUUGAUGUGUUAACUCCCCUAAAAUAAAACAAACGAAACAAAAAAAAAAAAUCAUAAAGACAAAAAUGAAAAAAUGGAGUACCAUCAUUGUACUAAAAAAAUAUAUUUUAACAAAAGAAAAAAUCAAUGACUACAAAUAAAUUUUAAAACACUAGAUUUAAAAAAAAAAAUCAAAGAACAAAAAUAGAAGAUAUUUAUAUAUAUAUAUAUUUAAAAAAGAAAAUUAAUAGAUAUUAUAAUGAGGCUUAGUAUUUUCAAAAUCCUGUUUUAGGGCAAAAAAAAGAGGGGAAAAAUAAAACAACUUCCGUCUUUGAUUCACAAACAAGAGACGUGUCAUGUUCUCAUUAGCUAAAACCGGAAAAAAAGCGAUGAGUAAAAAAGUCAUAAAAACGGUUAACCCUCAACGCCUCUCAAGGGUUCUUCACGUGCCAGUCACGUGGAAGGAAGGGAAGCGAACCGGGUCUAAGAAAACCGCACUAUCUGGGGUAAGUACUAUUAGUAUAAUUGUACUAUAAGCGCGGAGUUGAGAAAGACGCCGGCUUUUUGAACGAUUUAAUCGGCGAUCUAAAGAAGAAGCCUCUUGGUUCCUUCUUCUCCUCUUCGCUUCUCUGUUAAAUGUUCAUCACAAAUAAAUCCCAUACCAAUCGCCCGACAUUUCUCUCACUCCACAAUCGGAGACCAAAGAUUAUUCCUUUUUUCCCAUUUCUAUUUCUUCCAAUCUCAAUCGCAUGACGGAUUAUCGUUUGUCGACGAUGAAUCUCUGGACUGACGAGAACGCGUCGGUUAUGGACGCUUUCAUGAAUUCCGAUCUGUCUUCCUACUGGGCUCCGUCAGCCGCCUCCUCUCACUCUCUUCACCACCCACCGCCACCUCAGUCCUCCGCCUCCACAUCCACUCCCCCGCCGGACGCACCUAAGUCCCUCCCCGUUUUCAAUCAGGAGACUCUGCAGCAGCGGCUCCAGGCGCUGAUCGACGGUGCUAGGGAGAGUUGGACUUAUGCGAUUUUCUGGCAGUCGUCUUAUGAUUAUUCUGGUGGGUCUGUUUUGGGGUGGGGUGAUGGGUAUUACAAAGGAGAGGAAGAUAAAGGAAAGGGAAAAGCGAAAAUGGUGUCGUCAGCGGCGGAGCAGGCUCACCGGAAGAAGGUUUUACGGGAGCUUAACUCUUUGAUUUCUGGCUCUGCCGCCGGACCUGACGAUGCGGUGGAUGAGGAGGUUACGGAUACGGAGUGGUUCUUUUUGGUUUCGAUGACUCAGUCGUUUGUUAAUGGUGUUGGGUUACCGAGUCAAGCGUUUUACCACUCGACGCCGAUUUGGGUCUCUGGUGCCGAUCGGCUGUCGGCGUCUGCCUGUGAACGAGCUAGACAGGGGAGGGUUUUUGGGUUACAGACGAUGGUCUGUAUUCCAUCGCCUAACGGUGUUGUGGAAAUGGGUUCGACGGAAUUGAUUCAUCGAACGUCGGAUUUGAUGAAUAAGGUCAAGAUUCUGUUCAAUUUCAACAAUCUCGAAACGAGUUCUUGGAUUUCGGGAACUACCGCCGCCGCAUCCGCUGCCGACGAAGGGGAAAACGACCCGUCGUCGAUGUGGAUCAGUGAGCCAUCGAGUACAAUCGAGAUGAAGGAUUCAAUCACCACCACUGUUCCUUCCAGCAACGUUCCGGCAAAGCCAAUCCGUUCGGAAAAUCCCAGUACAAGUAGCUUAACGGAAAAUAUGAGCACGAUUCAACAAUCCCAUCAUAAACAGAGCCAAAGCUUCUUAAAUUUCUCCGAUUACGGCUUCGAAUCAAAUCCCACAAAGAACACCACCGCUACCGCCACCGCAACCACCAGCACCACCCCAUCAUUCAAGCCGGAAUCCGGCGGGAUGCUGAAUUUCGGCAACGGGAGCCUCUUCUCCGGCCAUUCACAGUACGUAACAAACGAACAGAACGAGAAAAAGAGAUCCCCUGCUUCUCGAAGUAGCAACGACGAAGGGAUCCUCUCUUUCACCUCCGGCGUGAUCUUACCCUCUUCCGGUAAGGUAAAAUCCGGUGAUUCAGACCAUUCAGAUCUCGAAGCAUCAGCGAUCAGAGAAGUGGAUAGCUGUACAAAAUCAUUAGAACCCGAAAAACGUCCAAGAAAAAGAGGUAGAAAACCAGCAAACGGAAGAGAAGAGCCAUUGAAUCACGUAGAAGCAGAGAGACAACGGCGAGAGAAAUUAAACCAGAAAUUCUACGCUCUCCGAGCUGUAGUUCCAAACGUAUCUAAGAUGGACAAAGCCUCACUACUAGGUGACGCGGUUUCGUACAUAAACGAGCUCAAAUCGAAGCUCCAAAUGGCAGAAUCGGAGAAAACAGAUAUGGGAAAACAUCUAGAAUUGCUGAAGAAGGAGAUGGGAGGAAAAGAUUUAGGAUGUUACUCAAACCCAAAUGAUGAAGAUCUGAAAACAGGGAAAAGAAAGGUAAUGGAUAUGGAGAUUGAAGUUAAAAUCAUGGGUUGGGAUGCGAUGAUAAGGAUUCAAAGCAACAAGAAGAAUCAUCCGGCGGCGAGGUUGAUGACGGCGUUUAAGGAUUUGGAUUUAGAAAUGCUUCACGCGAGUGUUUCUGUAGUGAAUGAUUUGAUGAUUCAACAAGCAACAGUGAAGAUGGGGAGCAGAUUUUACACACAAGAGCAGCUUAAAAUGGCUCUUGUCGCCCGAGUCGGCGGUGGUGGAAGUGGAGGCGGCGGUGGAAUCAUGUAAAUGGGGUUAGGGGACAUUUUUGAAGCUCCCAAUUAGUAGAGUUUAGUUGAGGGAAUCUGAUUUAGUAUUGUGUAAUAUAAAUGUUGGUAAAUUAUUUUUGAUAAUUCUCUUGUUGUUCAUCUUUUGUUGUUAGAGUAAUUUGGGAGUUCUUCUAUAUGUAGUUUUUGUUUAUUAAAUAUGAAAUCUAAUAGAAGUAAAGAUCAAAGACCUUCAAACUUUGUGUUUGAUCAUUUCAAUUCUCCUUCUUUCCUUUUUUUUUUUUUUUUUGUUUUUGUUUUUGUUUUUAGGGUUUUGUUUGAACUAGUAGGUCUAGUUUAGGGAAAAUCUAGGUUUGAUCGGAAAUUAAGGACUAACCUUAACCUUUCUUGGUACAAACUUUAGUUAAACCUACAUGUCAAUAGACUUAAAAGAUUUAGUAUUAAGGUCCAAACUUUCCCACGGUUGAGAUCGAAAGCCCCUGAUAUAAGAACAACUCAUAAAAUUUGACAUUUGAUUAGGUUAUUAAGUGGAUUUCAAUGGGGAUCGAGACCUACUCUCUUAGGUCAACAUUUUUCAUAAAUACAUAAGUUGGUUAGUCUAGAUUUGUAAAUUUUAAUUGGGUUUAGUUGUUUAUGUAUGGAGAUAGGUAAUUGAACUUCUCAUAUUGAGUUAUAUACUCCUACAAGUAAAGGGAGAAACUCCCAAUAGAUAUUGGUUGUGUUGGAAAGGUUAUGAAUCGAUUAAUAAGUCAAUUACCAUUAUCUUGAUUUUGAACGCCAAUGCAUCACAUGCAUAUAUAUAUAUAUAUAUUGUCGGCUAGUACACGACCAAUUAAUGUUUGGAUAAAGUUCUUUCCAGAAUCAUCCUAUUUUCAAGACUCACUAAAAUCCUUCAGAUAUAUGGUUCCACAAUUGGUCCUAUGUACAACAGUGUAUUGAACUACUUCAACACGAUGUUCGUACAACAAUACCCACAACUCAUUUUUGCACUCCAUAGCAAAAAAUAAUAUAUUAUGUUAAGGACAACCCCUUAGGUAAAUUGCUUUGAAUGAGUUAAUCAAUCAUUUAUCCUUGUGGAUCUAACAUUAAUCCUCUCAUACCUACUAAUUGGUAUGCUUGAGAUGCAUUUUCUCGAGCACCUAUAGAAGACGUUAUAUAUAGACUGGAUUAAAAGGGACACUCAUCCUAAAAUUAGGAUUCAUUUCUUGUAGCAAAUAUUCACUUGUAGCAUACGAUAUCUAAAGGGACUGGCGUAAGUUUUCUACUGCGGGUACGUUUCCAUAAUGAUGGUGUCUUUUCAAUAUCAAACUUUACUGUUCACCAUCUUGAACUAGCCAUCCUUUAGAGAGUAUUGUUAAAAGAUAUCAAUUCCUAAUGAAAUGGAUGUCGCAGUGGCCCACUAAAAGUCUUUAAUUGAUAUUACAAUCUUUAUGCUAGUUGAGCUAUGCUCGAUUUAUCAUUUUGUAUACAAUAAGCUCUAACAAGUUAGUUAGGUUCCAUCCUUUAUAUAUAGUUUGUACACAUUAUUAUUUUUAGAUGCAUGCCACAUGCCUAAACCUUCAAAUGAUUGGUUACUAUAUUGGAGAGUUUAAGCUACCUCUCAUACAUAGAAAUGUUAAGUAGAUUCAAUGAAGUUUAGAAAUUUUAAUUUUGAAAAUUUGAAAUUCCUUGUUAAAUUCUAAUAACAAAAACAUGUUUUUGGAAACUACAUUUUGUUCUAUUUUAUUUUUUAAAUUGUUUAGAUAUUUAGGUAGAAAAUGGUUGAUAAAACACGAAAACUUAUAAAUGAAAGUAGUGUUUAUAAGAUUACUUAAAAAACCAAACAAUCAUCUAGAAAGUGUAUAACAAAAUAAAGACUAUUAGAAAGUAAACGUAGUUACUUAAAUUUAAAAAAAAAGCUUAAUAAUUAUCAAACGAAACUUAAAUUUAUAACAACCUAAUUUAAUUUGAUGUGUGGUUAAUAAUUGGGACCCAAAAAGAUAAGCUUCUAGAGGCAUGGAUGAUAGUGAAGAAUUGAAGAUGACCUUACACUUCAUAUAUGGACAUAAAAGGACCAUUUUCAUAGAAUCUUCAAGAAGAUAUUGAUGGAGAUUAUUUUCUCUUUUGGUUGAAGUUCAAUGGUAAAAAGAAUAAAAAUAAGUAAAUAACUUUUUAUUAUUCGAGAAUAUCAAGAUCGUUUAAAUAACAUUUUGACAUGCUCUUAACGAUCAUUUUUCAGUGUCAACACGAUCAUUUAAAUUUAAAGUUUUUUCCAUAGUUUAAAACUAACCUACACGAUCGUGUUUGCAUUAUCUAAACUUGCUUACCUUAGUUAACAUGAUCGUUUAGCAUGGUCAACACGAUCGUUUAAUUUGAAGUUUUUAAUGAUAAUUUAUAUUGGACUAUACGAUCACUUAUCAUGAUCAACAUAAUAAUUUAAAUUUAAAAGCAUUUUGUCCCAUCCUUUAAAAAGAACCAGACGAUCGACCUAAAUGAUAGUAGAUCAUUCGUUUAGACUGUAGUACACGAUCAUUUAGAAGAAAAUUAUCCUUGAUCGCAUGUGGCUAGAUUAAUUCCAUGUUAACUUUUUUUUGUUUAUACGAGGACAUUUUGAACUUUAAUUAGUUUAAUUAGUUUAUUGGUCUAUAGACUAUGUAAGAAAUUUUGGGUAAAUGCUAUUUUUCACAAUAAAAACUAAGUUGUUUGGAAUCUAAACUUUUAGAAAAUUAAAAUUACAUAAAUUAACUCAUAACAAACUAAAAUGGAGAGGCUACAAAGUGUUUUUCCUUGAACAUGUUUUUGGUUGCACCAUCAUAAGGUGAAAUUAUGAAAUCAAUACUCAAUUAUUGGUUUUGUUACAUAUUUAGAUGAAAAUGAUGAUCAAACAAAGAAGAAGAAAAAGUAAUUAAUGAAAGAAAUAAAGGGGAGAUUAAAAGGGAAAUGAAAGAAUGAAUAGAAAUGGUUAGAAAUAGGAUUAGAAUUAAUAAUCCUUAUCCCAAUAAAAGAAAGAAACCCUAAAAUUAGAGAGUGGUAGUUAACCAAAAAAUCCGUACAACCAAAAAACGAAAAAUCCCCAAAUUUAAAACCCUAAAAAUUUCAUUUCAUGAAAUCAAUCCCCACAAAAUCUUUAAUCUCUCUCUCUCUCUCUCUCUCUCUUUCUCCCGUGUCUUCUUCAACCAUCAAUCAUGAGUUUGAAUUGCCUCUCCUGUCAAAUCUUACAGAGAACGGAUUCCGAGAGACACCGUGACCGGCAGGUCCAAACUUACUAUACCUCCGAUGAGUUCAAUUCCUCGGAGAGAAGCUGGUCGGGGAACCUCUGUCUCCGUCCAAACAGAGGAGGAGGAGGAGGAGGAGGAGGAGGAGGAGGAGGAAGAGGGUUUCGGGGCAUGGCGGACAACAAGGUGGCUCCGAUCGGUCACCGCCGUGCCGUAUCGUUCGGGGGGAAGGAGCCGAGAUUGAUUAGAAGCUCAGGGAUGAGGAGGGAUUGGAGCUUUGAGGAUCUCAGAGCUAUUCGUGAGGAAAAGCAACCUUCUCCCAAUUCCUAACUUUCAAUUAACCUUUUCUUUUAUUUCUUCUUUUCAUUUUAUUUAAUCUUUAUUUGAACAUGAAUAUAUAUAUUAAUAUAUAUUAAUAUAUAUAUACGUAUAUAUAUAUAUAUACAUAUAUAUACAUAUAAAUAUUUAUAAAGUAUAUAGUAGAAAUGGGGAUUCUUUUCAAUCUUUGAAAAUAUGUUGUUUCUUUUUAUCAUUUGAAUUUGAUCAUACCACUUUUUCUUAAUUUGAAUUUCUUUUCAUGUAUUAUUAUUAACCAUUCAUUUAUAAAAAUUCACUACAUUAUAACUUUUUUCUUUCUUCUUUUAAUACUUUCAUUUUUCAUUUUAUAACAAAACCAUAAUAGAUUGUAAUAUAAGGUGUUGAAUAUAAGAACAAAAAAGGAAGGAAUGAAUGAUUAGACUAUGGAAAAAUAAGGAAGAAAAAGAGAAAUGGAUGAAAAUCUUUUUUCUUCUUACCAUUAUUAUUAAGAAUUUUUUAUUACAUCAAUUAAUUGUCAAAUGAUAGACCUUUUCUCUUGUUAAUUGAUAAAAUUAUUAAGUUGUAAAUUGGCAUGGCUACAUUUUUUCAUAUAGUUAUAUAAAUAUUACAUUUAAAUUUGAAAAGUUUUAUCAUUUAAUUAUCCAUUUUGUGUAUAUAGAAAAUCAAAUGCAAAGUGUCAUACCGGGUCGUUUUGUCGGGGGUCAAUUUAACACUUAAAAGUAUAUUUUGAAAAUUCUUGAUUUGAAAUUUCCAAAACUAACCUACUUCAGUUUGGUCGAUUGAUUCGUUUUUUAGUCUAUCAUGCUCACCCCUAUGAAAGAAGCAUCAUUCAAGUAUGGUUUGCUUUUUUUAUAUUAAAAAGAUGAACAAGUAGAUGGAAACUAACCUAACUAUAAGACACCAAUCUAAUACUCUUUCAUAAACUUUUACAAUUUAAAUGGUAAAAUUGUGAAAUUGAAGGGUCAAAAGUGAAAUAUUUUUGCAAUGAAGUCUAUAAAUUAAUUUACUUUUGAAACGAACUAUUAAUUUAUAUAUAUAUACGUAUCAUUUUAAAAGUCAUAAUUUUUUUUAAAGUAAAAAGUGAAUGUGGAAAGAAAAAAAGGGAGAAAGGCAAAAGAUAUUAAAGGACAAAGGCAUAAAAUACUUGGAAAUGUUGCACAAGUAAACAUAUGGCUAACAUAGUAAAAUUUUAUAUCAUUCAAAAAGUUGAACCAACCUAAAUGUAGCCAAGCAUGAAAUCAACCAACCCUUUUCAAAAGUAAAUUUGUCUUAGCUUAAUUCUACUCUCGUCUCUUUUGCUUUUGUAGUUUCUGACCUUUCUCUACCAAUUUUAUCAUUUAGGUUGAUCUUGAUCUGAAUGAGCACACAUGCCCUUGUUCACCACUUAGUCGAUCAAUCUACGAUGGUUAGAGUAAAGCAAAGAAUAUGGUUAAUUCUUCUUUAGAGCCAUCUGAUUCUAUUACGACUAUGUAUGACAUAUAAUUCAAUUGAAUAAUUAAUAAAUACUUUAGAGAGAUCGGAAGGACAAUUUUUGCAAGAAUAGUUGUAUGCUUACAUUUUGUUCAACUUGUCUUGUUCUUUCAACAUGGACCGUGUCAUUGUUUGCAAUUAUGUACCAAAUGAUUCGUUGUACCAUUUAAGAGAUUUUAUUAUUGAGUGGUUGGCAAAUACGACAACAUAAGCGUAGUCUCACAUGUGUACCAUUCUUAAAUAAUGCAUUGAGUUGUUUGUAUCAAGUUGAUAUCAAGAUCCCUUAACACACUCGGCUCAACCCCUGAUUUUGAAGACAUUGAGAUCACAAUUUCUGUUUGUGCAACCUAACGCUAAUUUCACUUAAGUAUGUCUUGAGAUUCAUCUAAACUAUACUAAUGAAUAGGAGAAUCCAGUAGUAUCAUCAAUAUAUCAACUUACUCCUUUUACUUAAUCAACUAUUAAUUUAACUUUUCACAUUGACUCAAUUAUUUUACGUAUUUUUAUCUCAUCAUUUGAUGCAUCAAUUUUUCUUUCUAUAUUUUUAUCCGAGAUGGACCGAGAGAUGUAAUCGAGGAUGGAUUGAGAAAUUUUUCUGAACGAAUUUUUGAAAAUGAUGGAAGAUCUAUAAGACAAAAACUCAACAAUGUUAUUCUAGGGAAUUUUUGAACAAAAAUUGUAGAUAUAAUAAAACUUAUAUAAACCUUAGGAAGUUAGGGGUAGAAGACUAUAUAUAUAGUAUAGAUUUUAAUCACAAAAGUGUAUAUAUGGAGUUUGUGAUAAUUUGAGUGGGCUUUUGGUUCUGAAAAGCCCAAAAUACAUAAAGUUUGGGCUUAUAUCUCUUUCUUUCCAUCUCUCAUUGAUUUGUAGAAGAAAUUUGUCACCAACGCAUUCACGAACUGAAGAAUCAUUCCCAUUUCUUAAUUUUUUUUCUUCAAUUUUCCCGUUGACUUACAAAAAUCAAAUUUUGGUUUCGGUUUUGAUUUGGGAUUUUCCAUUUUUCUUCUCUUUCGCCUUCUUUCGAUCUGAUUAUUAGUUUUUCUUUUUUUCUUCACAUCUUUGAUCCUCUCCUUCCCUUAGGGUUUGGAUUGGACUUUUCUUUGUCGUCUCAGAUCCUCAAUUUCACCGCGUAAUUUCUUUCCACUUCUCUCAGUUCCCACCAUUUUAGUCUCCAUUUUUCUUUUCCACCUUUUUUCUUCGCGUUUACUGCUUCUUUCUUCUCCUGCUCAUAGUGUUUACGACGUCAGAAAUCUUUGUUCUCUUGGAGGAAAGCCUAUAUAUUUCCUGUUUUUUUGUUCAGACCAUUUCUGGGUUCUCUUUUAUUUCUCAGAAUGGCCACACCGUUGAUGGCUUCUGGGAUUUUUAAACUGCGGAGGAUCAAGUGAAGGGUAUGCUUUUGUUUCUAUUCUUUUUUAUUCUUCAGCUUUGUUGGUUGAAUUUCUCUUUCCGUUGAUUGGAUUUGUUGUUACUGUUUUGGGAUUCGCCUGAAUUUUGGUUUCUGUGGAUUUUUUCUGUUGAAGGAUUGUGAAUGUUCUGAAUUGGUGGGACUUUAGGAGAAGUGGGAUUUGAUUUGGUUUGGUUUUAUUAGAUUGCUGUUUUUUCUAGACUGCUUUAGUUAUUCAUUGUGGAGAUGGAUAGGAACAGGCAGAAUGAGAAUUUGGGUGUAAACAAAUUGGGGAAAAACAUUAGGAAGAGUCCAAUACACCAACCAAAUUUUGGUAAUAAUAAUGCUGCUAGGCCUCAACCCCAGCCACAAAUUUACAACAUAAGUAAGAAUGAUUUUAGGAAUAUUGUUCAGCAGCUUACAGGUUCACCAUCUCAAGAUAAUCAACCUCCUCCUAGACCUCCACAAAAUCCACCAAAAUCCCAAAGCAUGCGGUUGCAGAGAAUAAGACCUCCUCCGUUAACACCGAUUAAUCGACCGAAUAUACCUGCUCCUAUCCCUGCCCCUGUUCCCGUUCCUCCACCACAAGCUCUAGUCAAUAACAAUGUGCCUAGGCCUCCACAAUUUGCUCAGCCACCUCCAAGACAGUUGCCACCAGUGGCAAUGGGAGGCGACUCGCAUUGGCCGAACCCUGCUGCUGAGUCUCCUAUUUCGGCGUAUAUGCGUUACCUUCAAAAUUCAAUGAUGAAUCCAUCUCCAGUAGGAAAUCAAGCUCAAUUUAUACCACAAUCUCAGGUUCCUGGUCAAAUGCAUCCUCCUCAUGCACCUCCACCGGGUUUAUUGCCUAAUCCUAAUCCUAAUCCACCCGUUCCUGCUCUUCCAUCCCCAAGGCUUAAUGGUCCUCCACCCCCUAUCCCAAACUUCCCUUCACCACACUGGAACGGUCCCGCCCUUUUACCUUCCCCGACUUCCCAGUUUCUAUUGCCUUCUCCUACUGGUUACUACAAUUUGUUGUCUCCCAAAUCACCGUAUCCGUUACUCUCACCGGGGAUCCAGUUUACUCCGCCGCUGACUCCUAAUUUCGCAUUUCCAUCCAUGCCUCAAUCAGGGAUCUUAGGUCCAGGGCCUCAUCCGCCACCUUCACCAGGGGUUCUGUUCCCUUUAUCUCCCUCGGGGAUUUUUCCCAUCUUGAGUCCAAGAUGGAGAGAUCAAUAACCCUUCCUCGGAGUGUUUUCGUGCUGAAGAUCUCCAUGCCUGCUGACAUUUUCAUCUACUUGUGAAGAUGGUUGCCAAACUCAUGUUGAAAGCUAGCUGGCUGCCCUUUUCGUGUUUUAUAUCUCUCAAUUAGUUUGAUUUUUCCUUUUAACACUUUAAAUUGUAAAAUCUUUUUGCUUCUCAUUUUCGCUCUGGAAAAAGUCUAAUCCUGUAACCUGUAGUCUUGUAUAAUGCUUUUCCCUCUCCUUUGUAGGACAAGUUCCUAUUAGGCAAUAUAGUGAAAGAUCAAGUUAUCAAAAUUGUAUUACUAUAUGUAACAGGAAGAACAGAGCUGUAACCUUAGACAUAGGGAUCAUAGAUGUCAAGUUGAUAGCUUUGUCGGUUGGUUGGUCGGUCGGUCGGUCGGUUUAGUUGAAUAAUAGUCCAAUUCUGUAAGAUGAUGGAAUGAAUAUUGUUUGAUAUCUAAGUUCUUUUAGCUGGUUUAUAGAAGGAAAUGUUGAAGAAGUGAAUUUUUUUUAUGUCUUUUAAUUGUUCUUGUCUAUUAUUUCAUUAAAGUGGCUGCCAUAUUACAUAUAUCUAUAUCUAUAUAUGCUUGAAAUUGUUAUUGUAUAGGAAGAAUCUAGCUUCAUAUAGAUGUAUUCAUGAUAUUGAGAUUUUUUUUGAGCAUAGCAUGAUAAUGAGAUUGGUUCUUACUACUACUACUGCUAAUAGUUGGACGCUAUUGUUUACUUUUAAAACAUGUAGGCUAUGAAGAAAGAACCUCAGUACAUGGCCAUGUCCACUUUUUUAUUAUUCAAUUUUGUCUAUUAUUUAAGGACUACUUAAGACUAUAAUAAUCUUUCCUGGUUACAGUAAAUACUAUUUUUAGUCUCCAAUCCAUCACCGAUUUGCUACAAUUUUUACUAUUUUACCUUUGUUAUUUCUUUUAUUACUUGCUAUAGUGUUUCACUAUUUCCUUUUCAAAUCAAAAUAGUUUACACCUCAAACAUAUGUCAUUGUAACUUGAACUAAAACAAUCUACACUUCAUAUACAAACUCAUAUGACUCAAUUAUAAUAAUCUAGGACUAUGAUAACCAACUCUUUGUUCUAAGUGCAUCCUUAUAUUCUAAUAUUUUUCAUUUGUGUUCUUAUUAUAUAACAAAAGCUUUAAUAACACAUGUUUGUACCUGUGGACAAGAGGUUUCCGUAUUUCAUUAGAAUGUUUAAAUUUUGUGUUAAUUUUUGAGAAUUUGAAAGUCAAAAAAAGUGAUCACAUUUCAUAAUAAAUACAAAUUUCCUUUUCAGAUAUAGUUGAAAUAAAAAGAAGUAUAAAUCUUCUUCUUCUUUUUUUUCACUUGAAAAUGUAUUCAAUUAUACAUUAAAGUUUUAUGGUUAGAUAAUAUAUAAGAUGAUAAACAUAUAUUUGGAUGUAAUCCAAAGUGGUAGGUUAGGAGUUGGAGUUGGAGUUGGAGUUUCCUACACCUAUUCUAUUCUCCAUUGAUAUAAUUGAAAUAAAGAG